CCAAUUAUUAGGGAACAAGCUUUGAGAAACCAAACAAGUCUUCAGUAGGUGAGGAAAAAAAAAGGCAUGUUUCACAAACAGAUUCCAUGCACAUGAAUAGCUUCAUCUGAAGACAUCUUUGGCAUUGAGGUAAUCAAAUUUACAGAUCAUUUUUUUUUUUUUUGUUUUUUUUUUUUUUUGGUUUUUUUUUUUUUUGGGCUUAUUGAAGACCGAGGGGGCCCACAUACCGGGGAUAAUUAAUCCUACUCAACUGGCGAGGUGGAUCCAGAUGGGAUGACGUGGAACAACACGAUUGGUCAAGGAAAAACUUCGAGUCCACGUAAGGGUUUUUUUUUUUUUUUUUUUUUUUUUUUGUUUUUUUUUUUUUUGGGGGGGGGGGGUGUGGUGUAGAUGUGGCAGGCUUUGGAAUCAGGGAUUUUCUACAGUUGUGUGAGUCUUAGCAUAGAUGAUAGUGAAAUGCAUAAAAAGUGCAGCCUCUGGUCUCAUUUCAAGUAAAGCUUCAUGAUAUAAGCAAAGACCAGCAGCAACUGUGCAUAUACUUCAUUUUACUACAAAACAAUCUAACAACCAACCAAAUUGAGAACAAAGAUGAUGAAAAUAUGCAUGCUCGUUGCAACCUGUCAACACCACAUGGGAAUUAGACAGCAGAUGGACAUUACUGAAUCGCGCAACAGCAUGAAAUAUAUAGUAGAACUAAUUAUUUCAUAUAAAAUCAACAUUUACUGUACAGUGUCAUUAUAAAAUAAAAUAAAAUAAAAAUGAAUUACCAGUACAGAGUGCCCUAAAAUUCUCUGCAGUCUUGGGAACAACAUCAGCAAAAAGCUAAUCAUCCAAAAAAGAAAACAGAUUAUUAAUAUACAUCCUAGUAGCAGACUGAAACCUGCUAUUUCCUUCCAACGAAAGGCUGAAAAAUAAAGUAAAUAACAUUUUGAACAAUGAGUUACCUCAAUAACAAUUUUUUCCACAGGAUCCCCAUCAAUUGAUACAUCUAAGAAAACAAGAGGGUUCUUUUUUUCACUCAUGACUCUUCACUCCAAAAUGCUGAAAUGAAAAGUCAAAGUCUGCAAAUAUCCUGUCAAAGCAUUAUAUAAAUGAAAUCUCGUUUAGGUUUAUGCAUAAGGUUGAUCUGUUAUGGUGUAUGCACAUUCAUUGUAUCCAGAGUGAGUGCAGAAACUUAUCAGCGUAGAUUGAAUCAUGCAAAAUUGGACCUAACUAGCUAGUAGUUUCAUUCAACUUGCGGCAGACCAGUUAUAUUAAGAAUUUUAUUCUCCUACUAACAAAUUUGGAUUACCUACCACGAAUGCAAAAAGGAGGUGCGGAACCUUAAGGCGUAAACAAAGCUCGAGGCAUCAAAAGAAAGUAUGUUUCAGUAAAGACCGAUGCUUCAAACAUUCAAUAGUAAUUUGUCCAUUUCAGCGUCGAAACAUGCACCUAUAAUCUUUAACUAUUUUGACAGCAUUUUCAACUGUCUAAUUGUAACAGACUCCACAAAACCCUAAACCCUAAUUUUCAUUCAAGCUCUUUUUCCGUACAAGAAGCUUCAAUCAUAACAAAUUCGUUCGAAAUUUCACAUAUUCCAAAGGAAAUGUCACAGUUUCCAAAGAACAGAAAUGAAUUGUAGAACUUGAAAGCUUAAAUUCCGUAAAAGUUGAAAACAAGCGAGCUGCAUAAGUAAAACGUAAACGAAGAAGAGUGCCGAGUUUACCUGCGACUUUGCCAAGAUCCGACCGGUUUAACUCAGAUUACAACUCGAGAAUUAAAACGGCGCCGAUAACCACUGGCGUAUUGUUGAAGUGCUUUGCUUGCUUUUUGAGAGAGGCUUUACCUAUUUGCUGCUUGCGAGCUGAGGAGGAAUCUACUAAACUGCGCGACCACUGUUUUAGGGUAGACCUUCAUGGUUGCUGGCUUUCUUUUAUCCACGUGUCAUUCGUAUCUCUCGAGGGUAUAGAGUUGCGUCGUCCUUACUCCUAAGAGCAUCUCCAAAAGACUCUAUAAAUGUUACUCUUCAAAUAUUCAUUUGUUUACCUAUGUAGCAAAUAGAUAAGUGAAAAAAUAUAUUAUUUUUUAAAAAACUCUUCAAAUAGAAAUGAGUUAAUAUUAUUUUAAUUAAAUAAUUAUUUUUUUAAAAGAAAAAUUAAUAGUAAUUAAAGUAUAUUUUUUUUCUUUAACAAAAAGUAAUAAAAUAUAAAUUGAAGAGAGAAUAUCAUUUCUUAUUUGAAGAAUUUUAAUUGGAGUGUCUUUUGGAGCUUUAAAUGUUAAUUAAUAUUAUUUUAAUUAAAUAAUUAUUUUUUUAAAAGAAAAAUUAAUAGUAAUUAAAGUAUAUUUUUUUUCUUUAACAAAAAGUAAUAAAAUAUAAAUUGAAGAGAGAAUAUCAUUUCUUAUUUGAAGAAUUUUAAUUGGAGUGUCUUUUGGAGCUUUAAAUGUUAAUGUAACUCUUCAAAUAAGUAAUAAAAUCUUAUUUGAAGAGUCCUAGAGCAUCACCAAAAAAACUCUUCAAAUAAGAUUUUAUUACUUAUUUGAAAAGUCACAUCAAUAUUUAGAACUUCAAAAGACACUUCAAUUAAGAUUCUUCAAAUAAAAAUUAAUUCUCUCUCUUCAAAUUUGAAGAGUUAAUUUCUCACUCUUCAAUUUAUAUUCGUUUUACUUUUCAUUGAAGAAAAAGAGAGAAAUGCUUUAAUUACUAUUGACUUUUCCUUUAAAAAACUAAUUAUAUGAUUAAAACAAUAUUAAUUUAUUUCUAUUUGAAGAGUCUUUUGGAGAAUAUCAUAUUUUUUCACCAUUCUAUUUGCCACAUAGGUAAGUAAAUAUGUAUUUAAAAAAUAAAAUUUAUAUAGGCUUUUGGAGAUGCUCUAAGGUUCUCGUUUUCUUUAAUUGCCACGAUUACCACUCUGCAGUGGAUCCCUUUUUUUUGUGCAUUGAAAAGAAAGCUAACGCGCAUAUUAAAAAAUAAAAAUGAGACCAAAUACGCGUAGAUCAACUGAUUUAAUUCGAGACUUAUAAAUAUAAUUGUGUUAAAUAUUUAUUAGAAGAGUUUUACCGUCUUAAUAAUUUUAUUCAGUUUAAAUUUAGACCAAUUUGAAUCUGGAUCAGUCGGGAUCCGAUGUGAUCUUCGGAUACUAAAUUAUUUAAUAUAUUUCGCUCAAAUUUUGAUCAGUCGAAACCCAAUGUAAUAUUCAGAUAUCAGAAUAUACAAAAAAAAGGGUAUUUUUUUGGGAAGUGCUUACCGAUGAUGUAAUUUUAGAAACCAUUCAAGUGGAAAAAGUUAUGAAACAUAAGUCGAAUCUUUAACAACGCGCAUUAACAUAUUCCGUAUCGCAAAAUGAGAGUAAUUAUUUUCGAAUAGGAAUUUGGACAUUUUCGUUUUAUAAUUUAAAGAAGAAUGAAAUAUUUUAUUCAAAAAUAUUGGUGAGAGUGAAGCGAUACGAUGUUUGUAAGAAUAAUUCUUCAAAAUUGACGACGGGCCAAUUUUAGUUAUUUGAUUCUUUAAAGCGUUAGAAAGUGGUAGAUUUGAGUGUUGUUUGGAUUUGAAUUCGUUUUACGACGAGAUCGAUCGGUGGGUACCGCAUUUGACCCGCACCAGCCGGUAGUGUUUUCCAUUUCCAUCAUCUCGGGGUCAAAUAGAUUCGGCCGUAAUUUCUUAGCGCAACUUGAGUGCUUGCAUUCGUAAAAUAAAGUACUAAACUUGAGCAUCGCUACACAUGCUGUAUGUAGUUGGGUUAUGUACUACAUAAUUUACAUACAGCACAUGAAUUAUGUACUACAUAAUUUGUAGUACAUAAUUCAUCAUUUAUUAAUAGGCUGUGUAAGAUUUUUAAAUUAAUGAUUAAAAAGAAAUAUAGUUAUAACCUAUGAUACGUAUAUCAUUUGUGCAUCUCCAUUAUGUACAUAUAAUAGUAUUGAUUUCUAUAACCAAAUAAUAAUUUCUUAACAAGUGAGAUUAUUUUAUCAAUCUUCUAUCAUUUUUUUUCCAAUUAAUACAAUAACAAAGUUUCUACAAAGAUCCAAAACUUGAAUUGAUAAAUAGCCAAAGCUUAUCUUACAAACAAUGUAACAAACAUCCAAUAGAUAUAGAUCAUUGAUUUUGAUAUUUCUUAAAUCUAAUGAAUGAAAACAAUUUUAACAGGAAAUGAGGUGUGGGUGUAAUAGUAAUUUAUAAAAAAAAUCAUUUUUAAUCACAUAUUUACUUAUUUUUUUCAAAUAAGUCCUCAUUAAUUUUUUAUAACUAAAUAAGUUUGUAGUUCAUCUCUUCUACAUCUAUUUAAAAACUUUAUAAAACUUUUGCUGGAUUUUUAUAAAAAUUUAAAUGAUUAUUAUAUUCAUAAAGAUUUACAACUUUUGAAUAAAUUUUAGCACCUUCAUUUAUAAUUUCUUGUUUCUUUUAAGACAUAGACUAAAUUUUUCUUGUAACACACACACACACACACACACACACACAUUCAAUCUACUUUCCCAUCCUAAUACAUACCAUCAAUGUUGUUACAUAGAUUUUGUAAUCUAAAUUUAUUAUUCUAAAUUAUGAGAGAUAUUACAUAUGAUAAAUAUCUCAUGAAUCUAACGAACUAUUAAAAACAUGGAACAAUGAAUAAAUUAUCAAAACCUCUAAUAAUUUCAUAAAACAUAGAAACCAAUAAGUUACCGCCUUCUAGUUAUAGGCAAAGAGGAUUUUUCUAUGAAAGAUUUCAACCCUUUGAUCUAAUCAAUGAUUCAGAAAUGUGGAGAAAUAAUAAAUUAAAUUGAAUGUCACAAUAUUUAUUAAAUAAAUUAAGAAACACAAAUGUAUCUAUAAAUGAUAUAGAAGGUGUAAAUAAAAUAUUAUAAAUUAAUAAUUUCAAUGAAGAAAAUAAAAAAUAAAUUAAAAAGUUAAGAGAUUAACUGAGUAAAGAAUUUAAUAAAGUUAAACAAUUAAUAAAAGACUUCAAUAUUGAAAAUUAUGAUAUAUUAAAGUAAGAGAUCAUUAAUGUAAUUAAUAAAAAACUUAAUAGAUAUAAGAUUAAACAAGUUAGAGAUUAAAUUAAAUAAAAUAGAAAAAAUUAUUGAGCAACUUAGUACUAAAUUUACUAUAAAUAUAAAUAGAAAAUUUUAAAAAAAUUAAACUUCUAACAAUACUAUUGCCUGGCUGUAACUUGGGCUUUAAAGUAAAACUUAAAACCUUAUUGAUGUUUUUAAUAAUUAUUAUCUUUUCUAAGGAUUUAAGAAAUUUUAGCUGUAACGUACAACUAAUGUAAGAUAAACUUUACCUUCAAAAUAUAUGGGAUCGUUUGGUAUGCCGAAUUAGAUUGGAUUGGAUUGGAUCAGAUUAGAUAAGAUAGGAUUGGAUUGGAUAAUACUGGAUUAUAUAUAAUAUUAUGUUGUGUUUGGUAUGCCAUGAGAUUAGCUAGUAAAUAAUAAUGUCUUAUAUAUUAAUUUAUUAAAAUCAUUGUAGAUUUACUUUAAAAUGACAUGUAAUAUAAUCUAACUUAAAUCAAUAAUUAUUGGUCAAUUUAUAAAAAAAAUACAAAAUCUUCCUUUAUUUUUUUUUAAUAUUUAACAUGUUAUAGUUUUUAAUUCCAUGAAUAGUAGAGAACAAAGUUUUAUCUUAGAAAAUGUAAUCCCAGGAGUCCCCUUGGGAUGAAAUUUUGCCACUAUUGGGAUUAUGUGGUGGGCCCAUUAUUGUUACCCUACCUUUACUUUUUUUAUACCAAACAUGAUAUAAAGAUUAUUUUACACUAAAAUUAUCCAAUCCCAUGAUAUAUAAAUAAAACCAAACGGUCACUAUGUGUGUACGUUGAUCUCACUAUUGUACCAAAAAAGACAAAUGAAAUUUACUUGUAUGUAGUACGCUACCUUAAUUAUAUAUUAUGGAACAAGCUAGCUAUCACCCUCAUUGCCUUUUUGACCCAUUCUGAUUCUUCUUUGAAAUCGGAUGAGUUUUAUGAACAUCUUGAUCUUAGAAAUUAGAAAAUGAAAGCUCCCCAGAAAAUUUCAGCCUUAGUUGACUAAUAAAAUGAAAGCUCCCCGGAUUGGAGCAAUAUGAAAAUUUCUUAAUCCCAUCGUUGACGUGAGACUAUGUCCUCAAGAAAAUUUCAGCCUUUUUGAAUGGAAAUUAUUAAUCCCUUCUCAAGCGUGUCUCUCUGACUGUUUCUUCAAGCCCCGCCCCAACGUCGAUUCUUACAUAUAUAUAUAUUAACUAAGACUAAUUCUUGCUCACCAUUAAUUAGCCUGCGCCAAACCAACCAUCUUCAUAGCUUAAUUCCCCAGCUAACACCACUUUCUUUUCUCAUCUUUCAGCAAAAGAAAUAAAAUUAGUUUUUGAUCAUUACUUUGUUAUUCAAAACCAAACAUGGCCGAUGCAUUAACAGAAGAUCAAAUUGCUGAGUUCCAGGAAGCCUUUUGCAUGAUUGACAAAGACUCCGACGGUGUGUUAAUUCAUUAGGUGUUGACAGUGUGCACACGUUCUAUAGCUAAUCAUUUUGGUUUUUUUUUUUUUAAUAGUGCUGUGGCUUCAUUUUAUUAAUUCGUUAUCAAUGGUGUUGUGUGUAUUUAUAUUAUAUCAUAAUAUAUGUAGGUUUAAUUACCAUGAAAGACCUUGCAACAGUGAUCCAAUCAGCACAGGAUGAACAUCCUAGGAAAGAAGAAGUUCAAGAGAUGAUUAGUGAAGUUGAUUUUGAUGGAAAUGGGUCCAUCGAUUUUUUAGAGUUUUUGACUAUCAUGGGAAGAAAGAUGAAGGUUACAACAUACGUAUCUGUAUAUAUGAAUAUCAAAUUAAAUUGAUGCAUAUGUUUUGGUGCAAAUUAACGAACAUGAAUUGUUAUUUAUUUUAUCAGGAAAAUGUUUCUGAAGAGCUAAAAGAAGCCUUUAAAGUAUUUGACAGAGAUCAAGAUGGGUUCAUAUCAGCAGCUGAGGUAAAUGUGCAUAUCAACCACUAUACAGUACACGUAUCAUUUUUCCACUAAUAUGAAACCAAUCUAGCUAGUAGUAUUAAUUUAUUUGUGAUGUGUAGUUUUACUUGAUCAAUUUCUCCCUGCACAAUAACGAUUUUGUGUGCAUGCAGCUAAGGAAUGUAAUGAUGAAUUUGGGUGAAAGACUGAGCGAUGAAGAAACUGAGCAAAUGAUCAGAGAAGCUGAUUUAGAUGGUGAUGGUCUCGUCAGCUUCGAGGAAUUUGCAAGAAUGAUGAUGGCAUUCUGAUUAUUGGUUGGGUCCUAAUAUUUCAUAUGCAGAAUUCUUGUAUUUGUGCAGAUCUUUUAAAAAUCCUAUUCUCUGUUACGUCAUACGUCUACGUUAAUGUAAAGUUUAUUCAAUAAAAUGCUGGUAGCAUUUACUUAUACAUAUAUAAAACUGUAAUAUGUUGAGAUGAUUAAACUAUUUAACAGAGCCAAAACAACAUAUAAAAUUUGAAUUAGGCUUUGAUCACCUUUCUACCUCUUAUAUAAGGAAAAAAAAAUCAUACAAUUAUAAAUAGAUAGUAAAUUUUUGAUAUUUUAGAAUGAAAUUGUUAUUAUUAAGAAAAACAAAAUGAUGUACGGUAAAGCCUUUACAAAAUAAAUUGUUGGGACUAAGAAAAAAAAUCAUCUUAGUAAGGAUAUGUAUUUAUUAAUAAAUAAAUAAUUUAUUAAUUUAUCAUCAGAUUUAAGAAGAGUUUUUAUGUUUUAUAUUUUAUAGUAUCAUCUUAGUACGUAUAUCAUUCAUUUGAGUUUUUGACCAAGAAACAUGAAUUGUGUAUAUACAAAAAAGAGAAAUUGUUAAAUUUUAGAACAUCUACAUAAAAAUUUAUGUCAGUACAUUGUACUUAGACAUAAAAUUGAUGUACAUAUUUUUCAAAUUUAACACCCUAUAUGAUAAAGUAUUUGAUAUUCUUAAAGUAUGUAUAAUAUAAACAUGUAGAAUAUAAACUCUAUAAAUGCAUCAUUAGUUUUAUUUUUAGUUUCAAAUAUUAGAUAUAUAUUUUGGAAAAUAGUUGAAUUGAGAAAACUUAAGUUAUCAAGAAAAAAAUCCUUAAUAUUAUGAACUUUAUAUGUUCUUAAAAAAUUAUUAUCUUAUACAUUUAGUAAAAUUAUUAGUUCAGUACAUUAACCCAAGUCAAAAUUGAAAGAUUUUAUUACUUAAUCAAGAUUAUCAAUUUAUCGAAUAUUCGUUUAUUAAGGUUUUACUAUAUAUAAACAAAUCAAUUUUUACUUUCUCAAAUAGUCUCCUAAAUUGUCUCAAGAUUUGACCAUUUAAUUGUACAUCAGUUUCUUUAAAUGACUACUUGAGUUCUAAUCAUGGACAAAUAGGAAUAAAACAAUAAAAAGAUGAGUCUAUUAGUACUUUUAAAAUAGACAUUGAACGUUCUUAUGGAUAUCUUAGUAAAAUUUUAUUAAAAAUAAAAUUCUUCAAUGUAUAUUAAAAUAAAUUUAUUAUUAAGGACAAUUUAGAAAAAUAAAUUAAAAUACUUUUACCCGCAAACCACUAAAUGUUUACAUAUCACAUGUGAGUUUCAAAUAAAUAUCAAAUCUAAUCUAUCAUUCAAAGAAUAUAAAAAGUAUUUAUUCAUAGAAACGCAAAUCGUUAUUUUGAAAAGAUUUUUUUUCAUUAUUUGAAAAUAUUUAUUGAUACCAUUAUUUUAUUUCUUCAUUCACAAAUCUUCACGGGUAAACUGAUUCUGAUCCAGUCAUCCCACCAACCCUUCUUAAUUGAAUAGGAAUCGUUCGUUGAUAUUUAAUAUUUUUAAAUCUUUAAUGUAGUUGUUGAAUAUCUGAUCUGUGCAUGAGAGAAAAUAAUUAAGGGUUAUUUCAGUACUUAUAAGAGUGUGUAAAAGUAAAAUUUUAAAUUUUAAAUUUAUCAAAUAAGUGAACAAAGUAAAAAAAAUAUUUCAAAAUAUAUUUUUGAGUACAAAUUUCCCGACUCAUAAUAAAAUGGACAAGGAUCACUUCUUAGUUUUUUUUUUCCCUCUCUUAGUCUCUCCUAAUAAAAUAAGUGGUUAUAAGUGAAUUUUAAAUUUUGAUAUUGACAAUCAAACUGAUUUGUUUUGUUUUAUUUGCAAUUAAGCCAUUUUUUUUAAUUAGAUCUAAGAGACUAUUAGAGAUUAGGAAAGAAAAAGAGAAUCAUAAUCCUAAUAAAAUCGAACUUCCCCUACCUUGAAUUGAAAUAAAAAAAAUUGAUAGUUAUUUGUUUAUGUCUCAUCACUUUAGCGUUAAAAUAAAGGUAUAAAACUACAAGCUAAACUAUGUUAGAAUAUCAUUAAAAAAAUAAAUAAAUAACAUUUUACUACUUAUUUAAAGAGGCACAUCAACAAAAAUAGUUCUAAAAGACUCUCCAAAAAAAUUCUUUAAAUGAGAUAAUAUUGAUCUUUUUACAUCUUAUUUGGAGCGUAUUUUAAAGUUUUUAAUUUAGUAUUAUAUUAUUUUUUAUCUCAUUAUUUUUAAAGAAAGAAAAGUUUUAUAAUUGCUAUCAUUUUUGUGGUGGAAUGAGUUUGAUUAAAAUCACAUAACUUUUUUUUAGAGAUGACUUUUUUUUUUACUUUUAUAUUUGUCACAUAGAUAAAUAAAUAAAUAUUUAAAGAGUUAAAUUAGAAAAAAAAUUGUUAUGCUUUUAUAUAUAUAAGGGCAAUUUAUCGUCAGCCUCUAAUUGUUUCGACAUUUAGCACCGGCCACCCACAUCUUUCGACCAUGUGUACCACGCCCCCAUUUCCGUCAAAAAAUCAGUUAAUUCUAACGGUUCAGGCUGCUAUUAACCUAAAAGACCAUACUACCACUGUUUUAAAUUAAAUUGAUAUAUAAGUACUAAAAUACCCCUUACAACUUAAAAAAUUAACAUUAAGAAAUAAAGAUUUAUUAUAACGAUAUUUAUUUUUAUAUUUUUUUACAAUUAAAUUGAAACGAAUUUUUUUUUUAGUAUCAUAACAAAAUUGUAAAAGGGGGAAACUUCAAAAUGAGAGACAAAGCAUGAUUCCAAAAGGAAAGAAGAAAAUCAAAUACAGAAUCAUCAUCAGAUUACAAAAAAAUUCCAAUAUUAAAGAAACCUAAUCUAAUUAUGCCAAACACUUGCAGUAAAUUUCAUUGUAAAAGUCUAUUACAAAAGACCCAAACUAAGAAAAUUUAACAAAAAGGAAUCCAAAAAUAAAAAAUCCUAAAACGAAAGAUUUCAAACCCUAAAUCAAAUUAUAGAGGUGGCGGAGACGGCAACAGCUUCAAGUGGUGGCGUCGGCGGUUCCAUGCAGUAGUUGAGGCGAUGGUUUCGAGCGAUGGCAGAUCACGCAGCGCGCCAUUUUGUUGUUGUCGAUUCAAGCCGGUGGUUGAUCACUCCGACAGACACCAGUAGUAAAAGACAAGAAGAAAAAAAAGGAGAAGGAGAAAGAGAAUGAGAAGAAAAAAGAAGUAGAAGAAGAAGAAGAAGAAGAAGAAAAAGGAAGAAGAAGAAGAACGAAGGAAUACCGACGAGAAAAAGAAGAGGAAGGGAAAAAAAAGAAAAGAAAAACAAAACAUAGAAAAUAAAAAGAAACGAAGGAUAAAAGAGUUCGUUCUUAAAAAAUUAUCAUUUUAUCUUUUUUUUUUUUGGUUAAGUUAACGAUAGAUUGACGGAAAUGGGGGCGUGAUGCACAUGGUCGAAAGAUAUGGGUGUGCCGUACUAAAUGUCAAAAUAUUUUUGUGGUAGAAUGAGUUUGAUUAAAAUAAUAUAACUUUUUUUUUAGAGAUGGACUUAUUUUUUUUACUUUUAUAUUUAUCACAUAAAUAAAUAAAUAAAUAAACAUUUAAAGAGUUAAAUUAGAAAAAAAAUUGUUAUGCUUAUAUAUAUAUAUUAUUAUAAGUUGUUUAUAAUAACUUAACUACUACCACUAAUCGAAUCGUCUGAUUGGUUGAUGCCAGAUGAUGACAAUUUGCUGCUAGUGCUGAAUGGAAAAUGGACAGUACGGGGACAAAUUCUAACAUGGAGGAAUAUUCAGCCGCAUCGACGGUUAUCAAAUUCGAUAAACCAAUCCCAUUACUACGGGGGCCCGUCCCACACGACGACCCAUCGAGCGGCUCAUAUCUCCUCGCUUUCAGGAGCCACCAGUCGUGGGCUUCGGCGUACGAAUCCUGCGAGUCCAAGGUACUCUCGCAGUGCGAACAUGGCGCUAGGAUCGGUUGCUCCGUCAAUGCGUCCAAAAAGUGCAAGCCUCCUUGGUGGCGAAACCUAAUUGGACAAAGACCCGCCGACUUCAAGGAGCGUGAGGACUGCGAAGUGCGUGAAAUGGAAGCGUGUUUGAUUGUCGCCAAGGACAAGUGCGCGGGCUUUGCGAAAGACAGAUUGUUGAGGCCGUUUCAAGAUGCGAGAAUUGCGGGGAGAGUGGGGCCCAAGGAGGUCGAGAAGUUGGUUUGCUGGGCGUCGUUGCCUGAGACUGAGAGGAGUUUGUGGAGGGAUUUGAUUGGCUCGGAAUGGCUGGGUGAGCGCGAAUUUAGGGUUAGGACGAAUUAUAGGGCCGCUGACUUGCUUGGCUCUGAUAACAAUUACAAACGCUUCUUGGGUUAAUGAUCUGCAAAGGUAUGAUUAUCUAUCUGUUUAACUUAGUUUUUCAUUAUAUGCAAGCAUGUUCGUCAAUAUUGUCAGAUUAGCGAUGAUAGAGCUUAUUGAAUUAGGGAAUUAUAGAAUAUCUUUAUGUCCAACUGUUAAAUCCUGAGUGACUGGCUAUUGGUAGAAUCUCCUUGUGAUUGUCUGCUCUCUACAAGUAACACAGUGACUUUUAAUUCUGGGUAAUGUUAGCAUGUAAGUUGUUUCACGGGCAUCUUAGUACUGCAUAUUAGUUUUAUGCCGGUGUUUCUUUGCUGUUUUAAUGUAUACCCUUUCAAAGUGAUUCUCUCAUGUCUAGUUUUUCUCGGCAGCUCUUCCUUUGUUUUAUUUUCAAACAAUUAACUUUUUCUACUUUGUUUUAUUAUUAUUAUUUUUUAAGUACUUAACUAUGAGAGAAAACUAAGCUGCCCAGGAGCACACCUUGAAUUGUAGGAAUCUGAUUUUUAUGAUGGUUCAUACCACAAUCAUGAGUGAGAGUGACGCUGAAACUGCAGACUGCAUUUGGUACUCUUUUUCGCGUUAUUGACAUCUAUUUUGUUGCUAUUUGGACAUUACAGCUCUGAGCUCAUGGUAAUCUGUAUAUUUCUUUAUUCAUCAAAAUGCAUUGCGGGUAAUUAUCAGGUCAUUAUGCCAGCACCACAACAAUCAGUCAAAUCACCACAAUCAUAACUGCUUCCUCUAUCUUCUCCCGUUGCAAAUUUGCUCUCUAUGUCCAUUACAAGCACCUUUGCGAAGUGACUUGUGUUUUUUGGUUACAACAGCCAUUAGACAACAGCCAAUUGGCACUGGUUUUCUGAAAAGCUGGAUGAGUGUUAUUAUCAGCACCCUGCACCACCAAUAUUUUCACACUGAAAAUAUUGUCCUGUUUUGGUUUGUUUUCAUUUCUGUCUUCAAGAAAUUUCUGCCCCUUGAUCUAGGAAUCACUUAGUAAUUUCUGUUUCAAUAACUAAAUGUGUGAUUAUUGCUUCAUUUUAAUUAGUUAGUGUACUCUUGUAAUAUCUUUUCAUUUCAAUCAUAACCAUCAUGCGAAUUACAGCUGCAUUUGUGCUAAUGUUCCCCAAGCUAGCAUUCCAGAACAUUGUAUUUGUAUAUAUAUAAUAGGAUUGAUAGCCUGUUGCCAUGAUUUGGAGUUGGCAUAACAAUUUUAGGUAGUCAAAUAAUCCAAUGGACAGGGGCUCUACUCGGCCAUGAAGAGCCGGUUGGUGUUUUUGAAGGGCUUGGACAGUAGUUCCUAUAAGAGUGGAUCUUUUAACACCCCUCCAAAAUGCUUAUGACGCCCUUUUUCAAUUUUAUUUUCUAAAAAUACUCAAUUUAAUUUAUACAAUACAAAAUCACAAAUUAAAAAUCAAUCAUCUUGCCAUAAAACUUCACACUAUGAAGAGAAUUUUUUAAUAUAUAAAAGAGAUGCAAAUCCUAAAAUCUUAAAUUAUUUUCUUAUUACAUAGUUUUUACCUCCAUAGUACUAAAUUAUCACAAAUUUCUAAAUCUUUAAAUAGUUUUUCAAUUAAAAUUUAAAAUAUAAAUAUAUAUUAUGAAGUGAGGAGGGUGAAAAGGUUUGUAAAAAGAUAACUUAUUAUUUAAUUGAAUUUUCAUUCAAAAUAAGAUAUGAAUUCAUUUGUCUUUGGUUGUUAGAUAAUUUUAUUUAAAGGAGGCUUUGUGAGGAAUUUUCCUUUUUUGGUAAGGGGUUUUAUGAGGAAUUUAAAAGUGUGUCAAAGAGACCUACUCUAGCAGAUUUGUCCUUUCAUAAUUUUUUUUCUCAGAGCUAUUGGCACCCUUCAAAAAUCCUCUUAAAAUCCCCACUUUUGUAUGUACCCUUUUUUAAGCCUAAGAUGCAAGACUUUUUUUUUUUUUUUUUUUUUUUUAAUUACCAAAUCUUGGCACAUGCAUCCAAUGGAGGAAAAAAAAAAAAAUGCAACAAGAGGUUGAUUAUCAGCAAUUGAAUCGCCAAUUUUUGUUUAUAAUUUGUUGUAUACCUGCAUGAAUUAAUUGUAAGUAUGGUAAUGUACAUCCUGAUGCAAGAUUUUUUUUUUUUUUUUUUUUUUUAAUUACCAAAUCUUGGCACAUGCAUCCAAUGGAGGAAAAAAAAAAAAAUGCAACAAGAGGUUGAUUAUCAGCAAUUGAAUCGCCAAUUUUUGUUUAUAAUUUGUUGUAUACCUGCAUGAAUUAAUUGUAAGUAUGGUAAUGUACAUCCUUAUGCUUCCAGUCUCCUGUUUAAACACUGAACAAGAGAAAAAUCUUAAAAAGAGAAUAUUCACUGUUCAUCAUCAUACAAAUUUCAUUCGCUUUUCUGUUUCAAGAUUUCUUUUUUUGUUUUGAACUCCCAAUUUCACUAGAGUUUUUGUUUUAACCACCACUCCUACAUUUCAUAAGUGUAAUAAUCUAUUUCUUUAUCUUUGCCCCCACUUCUUUUCUUCUAUAAAUUCAAGCAGAGAGACUCCACUAUUUCUGGAAUUGAAGAAGGGUAUUUAGGGAAUUAACAUAGAUUUUAUUGGGAAAAAAAGCGAUUUCUUUUAAAAGGGUGAGGCUAUUUGAACCCAUAAUUUUACUAAUUAAACUUGUUUUCUCAAUAAAUCCACCAUUAAAAUUUAGAUAUUAGAUUUUUACUACAUAUACCCUAUAAAAAUCUAAAAAAUAACCUCAACUAAAAUAUUAUUCUUUUUAUUUUUUUUACACCCAUUAUUAACUUCUCUAUUUUUACUUGGUCAGUCUCUGUAGCCUCUCCAAAACAGGUAAUUUCUUUUUCUAACUUCCUGUAGAGUUCAAUUUCUUUUUAAUUAAUUGACAAGAGAUUAAAGCCUAAACAUGGGCCAUCUUCUUAAAACCCAUGACAAAUUGAACUUUUUUUGUUUUCUCCCGCCCUUGUGGUUUUGUUUCAUAUAUAAUAAUAAUACUAUCGGCUUUAUCGAACGGAUUUUAAUAUAAAAUAACGUCUUCAUAGUGUAGGGUAAGAACAUGACAUACAAGAAAUCUAGCAGCUGUGCCUGUAAUUGUUCUUUGCUUUGUUUCUUAAUUACCAGAAUUUGAAGUUUAUGUAAAGAAGAAGAGAAGAAAAAAAAAAAAAAAAAAGCAACGUCAAGUUCUUUCUUAAGUAAAACCUACAAAGAGAAUUAUAGUUCUUUGUUUUGGGAAUUCUUCUAUAAACUAGUUUACAUUUUUUUUAUUUUUCAUUAAUGAAUCCAUAGGCAUCAGAGAAAGAGUAGAUAUGGUUUAUCGAAAAAUGGGUAUAAUUAAAUUACAGUUUUUAUUUGUUUAAAUUUUAUUGUUCUUUAUGUAAUUUUAUUUAAGGAUAAAUUAAUAAUUAAAAAUUUUGUUGAAUGAUGGGUACAAAGAGCAAAUUAAUGGGUUCAAAUAGCUUCACCCCUUGUAAAAUUAUUUGAGGGGUACAGUGAGAAAAAGGGGUUUUAAGAGGAUUACCGAGGGGUGCUAGUAGCACUUCUCUUUAGCGAGUGUUCGAUUGAAAAAAUUUGGGUUUUCGCUCUGGGGCGGAAUUUGGCUUUGGUUCAGACCUAAGCACUUGUUAAUUGGACUCGUCCAAAAGAGAAAUUGGGCUUGGAGUGUAGCCGGCGUCGCCGGUCACUAUGAAUUUGAAGCUAAUGGGCUACGCUGAUAUGAUUGAGUAGCUGUCAUCAUGCGAUGACAAUAUUUGACGCUUUUAGAAAUUGAUUUUCGCAAGCCACACAAUUCCUCCAAAAUAUUAAAUUCUUAUCUUGGCUGCUUGGAACUUGGGCCCCUAUUCUAGUAAAACUAAAGCAAACUAAAGCAGUGUUUUCUGACUUGCAAAUGAAUUUAUCUAUUUUGACAAAACGUUAUCAUAGACGAAUCAUUUUCCUGUCAAAAUUCUGGGAUUCCAAGUCCAAUUUGGGUUUUUUGAAAUAAGAUUUUAUUACUAGUAGACCAAUGUUAUCUCCAAAUCACCUCGCAUCAAGCAGUUUACAGACAAGUUUUGCAAGUUGAGUGGUGUGAACUGUGAAGCAAACUAUCUAAAUGAUAUUGGUUCCUGGUCCAAAAUGUUAAAAGAGUCAGAUUGUUUUUUUUUAUAAGAAACUAGAAAAUGUAUUAGCGCAAAAGACUUGAAAACUCAUAAUGGACCAGCUGUCCGUUGACAAAACAGAAACUAGGACUGCUUGUUGCUCAAUACAAAAGGCAAUUUAAAAUCGGAUCGUCGACAGCGAAAGUUUGUUUAGCCGUCAUUGUUGACAUUCACAGAGAAAAACAACAGCCGCAGCAAGAACAACGACAACGGCACGCAUUAUUAGACAAACCAUACCAAAGAAAAAUCAAACAAUAAAAACGUGGUGGGCAGAAGUGCAGGCCAGAGUUGAAAUCUCACUUUGCGUCUGUCAUCAUUGGCUGUUGCCACGUUCGGUUCAUUCUGGCCACUGUCUUGGUCAAAACAGACUCAUUAAAUUCUCACCAAGAUUAUUAUUAACAUCAGAUUGCAGAUGUCAUGUAUCUUUCCAAAGUAAACUCAGACACAGCCAGCUCAAGAGGAAACUGCGAGGAAGCUGCAUUGACAGCAACUGAAAGAAAACUUUCAUUUCCUUUUUUCCAAAGCACGGGCAUGUCCGACAAUAGAUUAACAUCAAAGCUGUGUCUGAGUCAACAUUGCCCUUUCCGUCACAUAAAGAAACCAAAAAACGGGGCUAUGUCGACAACUGCCGAAAGGGCCCCAAAAAAAAAAAAAACAUAAAAAAAUGUACGUUUAAUUACCUCACAUUCCAGGAAAUUGGCACAGUGUGGAAAAGAAGAAAAAAAAAAGAAGAAAAAGGUGGGACUGGAAAUUACAUUUAGUGUGCGUGCCACUUGUCACAAGCUUUUAACUAUUGCGUCGUUGUUAAUUGUUUUUCCCGGGAACUUAGUCUUAAUUUAAGAUGUGUGCUACACGACAUUAUGAAAAACUUUUACAAAUUCUGAGCUUGACCCACUGACCAUUUGGCCUUGAAUAUUGUGUAGUUAGAUGAAACAACCGGCAGCUGCAAGUUGAAGUGUGUUACAAUAUUACACUUGUGCGGACGAUUGGCAGUUUAAACUUCAAACCAAGACAUUGGUGUCUUAAUUUCGUGCAUCUCGUGCAACUAAAAAGUAGCUUUUGUUGUUUGUUGUGCUUUAUCACCUGAAUCCUUUUUCUUUGGUUGAAACGCCAGCCAGCAAAGGAAACAGGGGAGGAAUAGUGGAUUUAGUUGAAUUCUUUUAUCUUUUGUGGUUGCGUUUUUCGUUUUAACAAGUUUAGUCCACUCACGUUUCUUGACGCCAUAGUAAAUGUAAAGACUCUAUCACUAAGACAAAGACCCAUUGAUAGUUUAGGUUUUUAGAUAUUUAUAUUUAAAUAGAAAAAAAAAUGUAAAGACUCUAUGGCUGAGACAAAGACCCAUUGAUAGCUUAGAUUUUUAAAUAUAAAUAUUUAAAUAAAAAAAUAAACUUUUGUGAAUAUUAUAUGAAUAGGUAAACAUUUGACCCAUAAGUUAAUAUUAUGUUAAAAAAAUCUAUUAAAUAUAAUUAUUUUUUAAAUUAUAAAACUUAAUUCUUUUUUAUUUUAAUUUACAAAGACAUAAAUGUUAGAUAAUCAUUUUAAGAUAUUUUUAAUUUAUAAAAAUAAAUAAGAUAUUAAUUAUAUUUAGAUAUUAAAAAAUAAAAAAAUAAAUAGACUAUUCAAACAUUUAUAUUAUGAUUUAUCCAUACUUCAAAAAAAAAAUCAAAUUCAUUUAAAUUUUGAGUAAAAAAAUAAAUGCGACAUUAAAUUGAUGGUUGACGAACGUAAAUAUUUCUCAAUGAAGGGAAUAUUCAAGUUAAAAAUUGUAUUGACGUAAACUUUAAGUUACCGGAAUAAAUUUUUUUUUUUUUUUUUAAAAAAGAAGAGUACUCUCUGUUUUGAAAGAAUUGUACGAAGAUGAAUUGAUUAUCGUUCGUCCCUACUCGUUAGUACUUUGGUAAGAGCAUGAAUCACGCCAGAAAAUGACAAAAUCCGUACAUUCAACGCAAAACAUAAAAUUGGCCAGGGAUUCCUCCAAGUGUUACCGUACUCAUAUCAAACAAAAAUAUUAAUAAUUUUUUUGCUCCUGAUUUGAGCCCAUCGGUGAAGGCAUGUCCGGCCAGGCGGCAAUUCCGGAGGCUACAUGAUAAAUCCAAACGUAUAUGGACAAAAGUAACAUCGAACAAAAUUUCUCGAGACAAAUGAUAUUCAUAAAUUCAUUUGCUUAUUUGUCCGACUUCUUUUAAGAAAUCCGAUAUAAUAUUGUUAAACUUGCUACAAAAUAGUGAUUGUAAGUUUUUUUUUUUUUUUUAAGUGCCAUUUGAAUACAGCAAAUACAUAUGAAUUGGUUGUAUUCAACCGGGAAAUUUCCCACCUCUGGAUGUCAAACUUGCUGAAUUCAUCUUGUAAGAUUAAUAUAUAUUAUACUUCCACAAAGACAAAGCAGCUGUCGAAUCUAAAUUAAGCCUAAACCUAUUCAGAUUCCAAAUGGAUGUUGUUCUAAUUCCAGGACUUUCAUCCUCACCGGCUAACUAGUAAUUGUGUGAAUGUUAUAUGUUGAUGCGAGAUUCUGGUUCUCCUCGUUCUACGACCAGGGUCUCUGCUCGAUCAACUUUACCACGACCAGGAUCUCUCCUCGUAAAGCUUCUUCUCCAGAAGUUCCUGCGCACACAGACAUGUCAGAGUACGCCGGUUGUUUUCCCAGCGCAAACCCUCCGACGCUCAAGUCAGAUAUGAAGGUUCGGGGAACGCUUGCCACAAAUCUUAUGGCUGUUAGGUUGUUUUCUCUCUUCCUUAUGUUUCGACCCGAUUCUGAUCGUCGUUCCCGGAUUCUCUGGUCCCACGCUCACUGUCUCUAGCUCCUCUACAGGUUCUUGUCUGCCUUUCUUGCUUUCCACUCGGGUGUUAAAGGAUGUUAUCUACAUUGCCUCAUUUGCUGCCGAGGAGUAGCAGCUUCUAGCGAUUCUCUGGUCCCCUCGUACCACACCAACUACCCCGUUCACCCGGUACUUGAGAGCCAGAUAAUGGAUGGACAAUACCGCUUUGCUCAUCCUUAGAAACGGCCGACCUAGGAUCAUCUGGUAAGGACCUUCUUCAUCCACCACCACAAAGUCCAGUAUCAUUGUCCUUUCCGUCGGGGAGCUCCCAAUCGUGAUAGGCAGCUCGACCACGCCCAGAGGGACUAGCUUUCCCCCUCCGAACCCCUUUAAGGAGGUAUUGGUGUAUUCCAACUUUCGGUCGGCUAUUCCCAUCUCCUCCAAAGUUGACUUAAAUAGCACAUCAACUGAGCUCCCUGUAUCAAUCAAUAUCCGGUCAAACUUCUUGCUAGCGACCGUAGCCUUGAUGACCAAAGCAUCCUCGUGGGGGUAUAGAAUCCCUUCCUCACUCUGCUCCCCUUCACUUGUUGAGGCUACCAUUGGGAAGGUCCCAUCUAUAAACUCGUCCAGAUAGCGAUUUCUCACCAAAUAUUCAACCCGGGUCUUAAGAUCUUUGCAAUCUGCUGUGGUGUGGCCAUGAGUGCCAUGGAACUUACAAUAGCGUCCCCUAUCCUUCCUGUUGGGUAGCUUUGUUAUUGGGGCAGGGGGGUACAACAAUCCUCGAUCCUUUAUGACCUUGUAAACCUCGGCCAGGGACAUCUUCAAGGAAGUAUACCGUCCAUAGUCCUGGUUCUGGUCGAUCAGGUGCACUGCCCUUUCUCUAUUUGCUCCAUUCUGAGUUGGAGGCGGUGGCAGCACUUCUGGUCUGCUCCCUCUACUACCGUGGGAGUGUUGAUGAAGACCACCAUAUGCCGAGUCAUACCUUCUUCAAGGCUCCCUAGCUGGGGAACGAGGAGGUUGAGCCCUGCUGAACUGGUACUGUGGUGGCCUCUGAUAAGGUUGGUAAGCAGUUACCCGACCUCCUACUCCACUACCCGAGGUCUGGUGGUCUCUCCUCCUGAUCGGCCCAUUUCCUGGUAAUGCUCUCUUCUCUUUCCUCCCCAACCCUUCUAACUGGUCUGUUUUAAUCCGUGCGGCAUUCUCCUCUUCAAUCUCAAUGUCUCUCUUAGCCUGCUCGUAUGCGGCCGCAUAAGUCUGAAUAACUGGGCUCCUUAAGUUGUACCACAGCCUUCCUAUCUUCACCCCUUCUUUCAAUCCCCUUAACGCCUGAGGGUGGUUGAAGGCUCCCAAGUCGAGGACAGCACGAUGAAACCUCUUGAUGAAUUCCCGAAAGGUUUCUUACUCUCCCUGCUUCAUGCUUUUCAGCUCCAUCAUGUCAUCCUCUGGUGCCAUUGCCCCACUAAACUGCUUUGCAAAUUCCUGGUACAUCUGCUCGAAGGUUUUGAUGCUGCCCUGAGGAAGUUUCCUGUACCACUCUCGUGCACGUCCCUCAAGGGAUAGUGGGAACACCCUGCACCUUUGGGAUUGAGAUAAUCCUUGUACCCCAGUUAUGUCGUUGAAGCGCUCUAUGUGUACCAACGGAUCAGUUCUUCCCGAAUAUCUAAGGUCUGGGAGGCGGAAAUCUCUCGGAAUAACUGCCCUCAUGAUCUCUGCUGCGAGCGGUGAUUCUCCGUCCAGCAUUAUCCUCCAACCAGGAGCUCUGCUCCUUCCUUACAUGUCACAAUUAUCUGCGCUAGUCUGCGCACCUCCUCCUCCAGCUGCACUGCACGACCAGGGUCACGUGCUGCAACUUGAUCCCGCUUUUGCUCUACAUCAUGUAAAUGUUGCCUCAGCACUGUUUCCUCUGCAUUCGCCACCCCAUCGUCCUCGUCAAAAAUCUGUCUUGCCGGGGACUGCUCUUCCUCUCUAUGGAAUUCUCCCCGCAGGGUUAUGUUACCUCUUUCACCACCAUGUCUCCCGGUGGUCUGACUUCUCCUCGUAUUAUCGGGACCUGGUGCCACUCCAUCACAUCUCACCCUUUCUUCCUGGGUUACCCUUCGUUCGCUCCGCAGCUCAUGCAUGAUGGUUGUCAAGGUCUCCAUCUGCUUUUCCAUCCGUUCCAUCUGGUCGAACAUGGCUUUUUCCCGUGCUUCACUGGCUAUCUCCCUCAGCGUCACGGAAUCGUUAAGCCUCAUAUCACCCCCUUGUGCACUACUUCCUCCUGUCUCCAUUGCUUUUCAGCUACUUCCCUUCUCUUCUUACUAUCAAAAGAAGCUUUUUACUCAGGUCCCCACAGACGGCGCCAAAAUGUUGAUGCGAGAUUCUGGUUCUCCUCGUUCUACGACCAGGGUCUCUGCUCGAUCAACUUCACCACGACUAGGAUCUCUCCUCGUAAAGCUUCUUCUCCAGAGGUUCCUGCGCACACAGACAGGUCAGAGUACGCCGGUUGUUUUCCCAGCGCAAACCCUCCGACGCUCAAGUCAGAUAUGAAGGUUCGGGGAACGCUUGCCACAAAUCUUAUGGCUGUUAGGUUGUUUUCUCUCUUUUAAAAUCAAAAUUGCUAAUCCUUUUACCUUCGUUGGCUACCUUUUUAUAGGCUUCCUCUGAAUCCCAGUUUUUCGCAGUCUACGUCUGUUAUCAUCCCACCUCUCGAACGUAGAUUCCCCAUUUCCGUAGUCGUUGGUGGUUGCGUGGCCUUCGUGCCUAGAUUCUCGGGCUGGAGAGCAUGCCUCGCCAACUGUCGUUGACCGGGUCUCCUCGAAUCAACCCUUAGCAGGAAUACAACAGGAAUGGCUUUAUGCUUCUUACAGGAGAUUGGACUCGCGGCUGACGUGCUCGUGGAUGAGCAGGGUAUUUCUGCUCCUGCUCCCGAGGAUACCAGGCUCUUACGGGACACACCGGUUCGCAGAACUCUGCCAUCAGAUAUCUGCUCAUCAUGCCUGGUCUCGUCGACGUAUUUCUCCCAAACAUUAUAUAGAAUUUUAAUUACAAUAGGUAGGCAUAUUGUUAAUUCUUGGGCGAGAUUUGCUCAAGUGUGGGAGAAAAAGUUCAGUGAAGAGGGCAUGUGGCGAACCUAAAAAGUCAUGAACAUGGCUUUGUGAACACGUUAAUGUUCCCGGAUCUCUCUAACAUACAUUUAAUGUAUAUUACUCCACUCACAUGAACAGUGAGUACAGUUGGGACAAGUAGCCCAGUACCAGGAAAGUUCCCCAUCCUGACCAUUUCCCUUGGCCUGGAGAAUAAAACAAAUCCGAUGUCGGGUGCAUUUUAUUUAGGUGGUGCUUUGUUAGGAGGAGAGAAUGGAAGAGAUGGAAGUAAUUUAAAUUCUCUUUUUAUUUCUAUUGUUUGGUUUGAUAAAAUAUAUAAGAACUUAAUUUCUAUUAGAAUUUAAUAUCCAUCAUAAUGUAGAAUUUUGAUUCCACACCAAGUAAUGAAGAAUUUAAAUUCCUCUUAUGUUGUAAACUAACGUCUUCAAAAUUACCCUUCAACUUUUUAACUUAUUUAAUGCCAUUAAUAAUAAUUAUUUAUAAUUUUAUUUUAUUGAUUUAAUAUUAUAAAUAGACUUCUGCCGGAAAGUUGCUAGAACUCUGUUGGACUUCACCGGAAAGUCGCUGAACCUCUGUCAGACUUCAUCGGAAAGUCGUCAAACCUCUGCCGAACUUCGCUGGACCUCCACCGGCCGCCAUCAGAUUGCCAUUUUAUUUUAUAUAUAUUAUAUCAUUAUUAAUAUAAAUAAUUUAAUAUUUAAGGUAAGAGAUAAAUUUGUCUAAAUAAAAAAAUUGUAAUUUCUUUUCUUAUCAAAUUUUAUAUCAAACCAAACAAUAAAAUUUAAUUUCACAACUCUUCUCCAUUCCUUUCUUCUCCCUUCCUCUCCAUUCUGCUAUUUUCCUCUCCUGACUUUUCUUCAAACCAAACACCACAUUACAGUAUUUGGUAAACCAUUUUUCUUUACACUUAUAGGGUAUCUUUGGGCUAAUCACUUAUAAAUUAGAUUUGAUAAUAAUCAGUUUUUUUAAUUAAAUUCAUAACAUGUUUUGUUUACUUAGAUGAUGAAAUAAUUACUUUUCAAUAAAUUUAGCAUACAUGUUUGAUAAAUUGAUUUGAAAUGUAUGGUAUCUACAAACAAUGACUAUUUCGGUGAAAAGUUGAACCGAGCAAAUGCACGUUACAACACUUGUGAUAUGGAGUUUUAUACAAUGAUCUAAGCAUUAAAAUAUUGGCGUUAUUAUCUAGUUUAUAGAGACUUUAUUUUAUACAUUGAUCAUAUUGCGUUGAAACAUUUCAAUAGUUAAGAUUAGUUUUCUCAUCAACAUGUUACUUCAACUACUUACUUUUGUAGUAAAACAUACUUAUGGUGAAUCCAAUAGGGUAGUAGAUUGGUUAGUCGAAGAUCGUCCUUGUUGACACGAAUGCGUAAUCAAGCCCUUGGAUUUGACACAUUUCGAGAGUUAUAUGCUACUAACUAUUUUUUCACUUCUUUAUUAGAAGAUACUAUUGUAGGGUUCUACUCAGAUUAUCAUUUGCAUGACGGAUUACUUUACAAAGAUAAUCAAUUAUGUGUUCCUGAACAAGUUUGAGACUAAAGGUCUUUGCCGAACUAUAUAACGAAAGAUAUAUAGGUUGUGACAAAACUCUGGCUCUAAUAGCCAAUACUUAUUUUUAGUUUACUAUGAGGUGUAAUGUUUAUCAUUAUGUCGAGACUUGUCGCAUUUGUCAAGUUUCUAAAGGCAUUGCAACAAAUGCAAGAUUAUAUUUGUCAUUGCCAAUUCUAACACAACCUUAGGCUGACAUUAGUAUUCACUUUGUUUUGAUAUUACCCCAUACUCAGAGGGGUAUGGAUUUAAUAUUUGUUAUUUUUCAUAGAUUCUUGAAAAUAGCUUAUUUCAUUACAUGCAAGAAGAAUGUAGACGCCUUAAUUGUUGCUUCCCUAUUCUUCAAGGAAGUCUAUAAAUUGCAUGGUUUAUUGAGUUCUAUGGUAUCUAACUGAAUUUCUAGUCAUUUUAGAGGACAUUAUUAAAGUUAACUAACAUCGUCUGAGUUUCAAAAGUGCUCUUCACCCUUAGAUAGACGGUCAAAUUAAAAUUGUCAACUACUCUUUAGGAAACCAUCUAUGUAAUCUAGUUGGCGAUAACUUGGAAACAUAAGAUCAAAAGUUAUACUAAAUUGAGUUUACUUAUAAUCGUUAUAUUAAGUGUAAUAUUGAUUUAAGUCCUCUUUAGGUGAAUUAUGGAUAUAAUCCACGAGCACCUAUUGACUUAGUCUCAGUUCUAGAUUUAGUUUGUAAAAACAAGAUAGAAGGCUUUAUUAAGCAGCUUAAAAAAUUUCAUACAACUAUAGAAGAGUCUAUGAAAAACCACCGAAGGUUAUAUAAGUGAAGUAGAUAAAAGGUGUCGAGCUUUAGAAUUUUAGUGGGGGAAGUCAUUUGGGUUGUCCUAACCAAAGAUAGGUUUUCAAUUGGAGAAUACAAUAAGCUUUCAGCCAGGAAAAUUAGACCUUUAGAGAUUAUAAAGAAAAUAAAUCCUAACACAUACAUAUUGAAGCUUUUUAGUCAUACUCGCACUGCAUAUGUAUUCAAUGUCAAGUAUCUUAUUCGUUUUAGAGGUGAUCAUGAUGAAGAUAUUGUUGAUGACAAUACAAAUUCGAGGGUGAAUUCUCUCUAUCCUAGGGUGGUUAUACAGAUUAGCAAUCCCCAUCAUAUUUAACUUAGUUUCCUUACUAUCUAAAGUUUAUUAUUCUUUUUCUUCGUAGUUCAGGACUAUGCUUUUCUUUUUCUUCAUGUUUAGGUGUUUAGAUAAUUAUUAGUAGUAUAAAUAACAUUCUCUUGUAGCCUUUAAAGGCAUAUUUAAAUUCAAUAAUAUUUUUAUUUUGGUUUAGUUAAUUUUAGUUAUUUUGCAGAAUCAAUGAGUCUUAUCUCUCCUAGAUGCACAAUAUUAUUUCAAAUCAACGUGAAUAUAAACCGUUUUUUUAAUUUAGUAUUCCCUAGAAUUAACGGAAUAUUAGAACAUUAAAUUUUCCCUGCGUCACGGCAGCUUGUGGUGCAAAACCACUUGAUUCUGAGUUAGAGUUUUUUGAUAUAUCAAAUGGUGACCACCACUCACCUGCAUUCACUUCCGUAUGAUGGUGGCAUUGUAGUGGCCGUUCUAUAUUGGAGGGAUGUGCAUCACUUCCAAUUCUAUUUCACCAACAAUCUCAUCUUUGUUCUGUAGGGCAAACAAUUUCGAAUCUAAACGAAUUGGUGGUUUCAAGUAAAUAGUAACUCGUUGAAAGCCAUUGAUGUCACUAGAGGAAAUUACCGACAAUGGUAGAUGCUAUAUUUUAUUUUUCAGUUAAAAAUUUUAUAUAUAACUAAAUUAACUUUUUUUUAAUAGAGUAUAAUUGGAAUAUGAUUUUGAGAUGAGUAUAAUUUGGUACUAUACAUUACAAAAUCAGAUUCUAAAAAAAUCUCAAUUUCAAGCUCCCAAUAACUUUCAAAAUUUAAUACAAAAAUAUAUUAUUUUGAUAAUAAGAUUUUCAAGAAAUCAAUUUUGAAAAAUUGGGUAUUAGAUUGUUAAAUAAUUAUUUAUUCGACAAUAUAAAAUAAUCCCAAAGAUACUCUUAUGUGUAUUUAUGUGUAUUAGUAGAUGUUGAUUUUCUUUCAUAUGUUCAAAGAUAAAUCUAACCUGGCAUAAGAAAAAUAUUCGAAUUGCACUAUCUUGAAUCUAAUCAUGGAGGAUUUCUUUGACAAUAAAUAUUAGUAUUUUACAGUGUAGAUUCCACAGUACUAAAAAUUGCUCAAAAGUCUACGGUAGCCCCAGUUGUACACGGUACCACUAGUUUUAUUUAUUUAUUUAUUUAUUUCUGUGUUUUUUAAAAGCCUUGGAAUUGCUUGCUUUUACAAUUUAAAGACUUUCUGAAAUUCUGCGAACUAUUCAUUGUCGCCGCCUGAUCUAUAUAUUGAGAAGUAAGCUAUCCAUGUUAGAAAAUUCUUCCCUUCGACUGGUUUAAGUAUAUAGUUUCCAACCAACUUCAUCGAGAAGUAACCAUGUCUGACACUAAAAUCCCACGUUAUAAUUGCAGCACAUUGCUCAUUAACGUCACCACCAGCACCCUCACAAAAGCUCAGAAGCGAUGGCGCCUUGCCUACUGGACAAUCUAUUCUUUCCGUGCUAUGCUUUCUGUUCUACCCAAAGGCCGGCUUCUCUCAGCCGAAAUCCUGACAAGUCAUGAUUACAUUGCCCUUGAUGUUGAGCCUGAGCCUAGCAGCUCUCAUGAUGAGGCAAAUAAACUUGUUUCCAACUCCAUUGAUCCUGAUAUGGAUGGAAUAAGACUCGCCGAAAUGGUGAAGAACAAAGACUCGCAUACCCUCAGCCUUCUUGGAGGAGUUGAAGGCGUGGCCAACGCUCUUGGGACAAAUCCUGAAUACGGAAUCAAUGGCAAUGAUGAAGAUGUCAGUAGGAGGUCUCAACUCUUUGGUGCUAACACUUAUCAUAAGCCACCUCCUAAAGGGCUUUUACAUUUCGUGCUGGAAGCUUUCAAAGACACCACCAUUCUAAUCCUUCUCGUAUGCGCUGCCCUGUCUCUUGGUUUUGGCAUCAAAGAACAUGGGGCAGAAGAAGGUUGGUAUGAAGGCGGAAGUAUCUUUGUAGCCGUCUUUCUGGUUAUUGUUGUCUCUGCUUUUAGUAACUUCAGACAGGCAAGACAGUUUGACAAGCUAUCAAAAAUAAGUAACAACAUCAAAGUUGAAGUUGUUAGAGAAGCCCGGCGCUUGCAGAUAUCCAUAUUUGACCUUGUAGUUGGAGAUAUUGUCUUCCUCAAAAUUGGAGACCAAAUUCCGGCUGAUGGGUUGUUCUUGGACGGACAUUCUUUGCAAGUUGAUGAGUCAAGCAUGACCGGAGAGAGUGACCAUGUUGAAGUAGAUUCAACGAAUAAUCCAUUCUUGUUCUCCGGUUCAAAGGUGGCAGAUGGGUAUGCUCAAAUGCUUGUGGUGUCCGUGGGGAUGAAUACUGCGUGGGGAGAAAUGAUGAGCUCAAUAUCAAGUGAUUCCAAUGAAAGAACUCCAUUACAGGCUCGGCUUGACAAACUAACCUCUACUAUUGGAAAAGUAGGCCUUGCAGUGGCUUUCCUAGUGCUUGUAGUUCUAUUAGCUCGUUAUUUCACGGGGAAUACAAAAGACGAAAAUGGAAUUAAGGAGUAUAACGGUAGCAACACAGACAUAGAUGAUGUUUUCAAUGCUGUUGUAAGCAUUGUCGCCGCUGCAGUCACCAUUGUGGUGGUGGCAAUCCCGGAAGGUUUACCAUUGGCUGUCACUCUCACUCUUGCCUAUUCCAUGAAGAGAAUGAUGACUGAUCAGGCAAUGGUAAGGAAACUUCCCGCUUGUGAGACAAUGGGUUCUGCAACAGUUAUUUGUACAGACAAAACAGGCACCUUGACAUUAAAUCAGAUGAAAGUGACCAAGUUUUGGCUUGGUCAAGAAUCCAUUGUACAAGAAACUUACUGUAAAAUUGCCUCAAGUAUUCGUGAUUUGUUCCACCAAGGAGUCGGUUUGAACACAACUGGCAGCGUCAGCAAACUGAAACCUGGAUCAUCAGUAGCCGAAUUUUCCGGUAGUCCAACCGAAAAAGCUGUUCUUUCUUGGGCAGUUCUAGAAAUGGGUAUGGAAAUGGAUAAAGUGAAGCAAAAAUACUCCAUUCUCCAUGUUGAAACCUUCAACUCAGAGAAGAAAAGAAGUGGAGUUUUGAUUAGGAGAAAAGCUGAUAACACAACUCAUAUACACUGGAAAGGAGCUGCUGAGAUAAUUUUAGCAAUGUGUUCUCAUUAUUAUGAGAGCAAUGGAGUGAUCAAGUCCAUGGAUGGAAAUGGCAGGAGCCAAAUGGAAAAUAUAAUACAUGGAAUGGCAGCCAGUAGCCUUAGAUGCAUUGCUUUUGCUUACAAACAAGUUUCGGAAGAAGAAACUGCAUACAACAAUGAUGUAAAGGCCCGCCAAAGGCUCAAAGAAGAAGGAUUGACCUUGCUGGGGAUAGUUGGUAUCAAAGAUCCGUGUCGACCUGGGGUGCAGAAAGCUGUAGAAGCCUGCCAAUCAGCAGGGGUAGAAAUCAAAAUGAUCACAGGAGAUAAUGUUUUCACGGCAAAAGCUAUAGCCACAGAAUGUGGGAUUCUAAGGUUGGAUCAACAAGUGGAAAAGGGGGAGGUGGUAGAAGGUGUAGAGUUCCGCAACUAUACAGAUGAGGAGAGAAUUCAGAAGGUUGACAAGAUCCGAGUGAUGGCAAGAUCUUCUCCAUUCGACAAGCUUCUAAUGGUCCAGUGCUUGAAAAAGAAAGGCCAUGUUGUUGCAGUCACUGGAGAUGGCACAAAUGAUGCUCCAGCCUUGAAAGAAGCUGAUGUAGGACUUUCCAUGGGCAUUCAAGGAACUGAGGUUGCCAAGGAAAGCUCGGACAUCGUCAUAUUGGAUGAUGACUUUACUUCAGUGGCCACCGUUCUAAGGUGGGGAAGAUGUGUUUAUACCAACAUCCAAAAAUUCAUUCAGUUUCAACUAACAGUUAAUGUUGCAGCCCUGGUGAUCAACUUCAUAGCGGCUGUUUCUGCUGGUGAAGUUCCUUUAACAGCAGUUCAAUUGUUGUGGGUGAACCUCAUCAUGGACACACUUGGAGCUCUGGCUCUUGCUACAGACAGGCCAACUGAUGAGCUAAUGCAAAGGCCGCCCGUGGGUCGCACUGAACCCCUUAUAACUAACAUUAUGUGGAGAAAUCUUCUAUCUCAGGCUCUAUAUCAGAUAACAAUCCUACUGAUCUUACAAUUUAAAGGUGAAUCCAUCUUCAACGUGAGUCCUGAAGUAAACGAUACACUGAUUUUCAACACUUUUGUUUUUUGCCAAGUUUUCAAUGAAUUCAAUGCAAGGAAGUUGGAGAAGAGGAAUGUAUUCAAAGGCAUUCACAAGAACAAAUUGUUUCUUGGAAUCAUCGGGAUAACUGUAGUUCUUCAAGUGGUGAUGGUGGAGUUUUUAAAGAAGUUUGCUGACACAGAGAGGUUGAAUUGGCAGCAAUGGUUAGCUUGUAUCGCAAUGGCAGCCUUCACAUGGCCAAUUGGUUGGGCUGUGAAGUUUAUACCUGUUACAGAGAAACCAAUAUUCAGUUACCUCAAGCGGUUAAGAUUCCUGAAGGAAGAUGCUUCUUUGUGGUAGAUUGUUUGCUUAAUCUUUGUGAAGUUUAUACCUGUUACAGAGAAACCAAUAUUCAGUUACCUCAAGCGGUUAAGAUUGAUAUUCACAAAGAUUAAGCAAACAAUCUACCACAAAGAAGCAUCUUCCUUCAGGCUCGGAACAGCAUGAGGUUUAUGGUGAGGUCCUGAACCGCCAAGGUCAUACCUGGGAAGAUUUAUAUCCCUGGGUGGCUCAGGAUUGAGCGUAUCUUUCUUUUUGUGAAAUCAAAAUAGAAACAUAAGCUCUGCCCUGAGCCACUUGAGAAUGCAACUCUUCUCAUGUGUGCCAUUAUCAAUUCAGAAACUGACCUGUGAGGCUCACAAUUGAGAGUAUCAUACACUCCAAAUGUACAUCAAUCUGAUCAAAUUAUAAAUACUCGUACAAGUAUUUACUAAUUCUAUCAUGUACCAAUAUGGUUAUCUUUUUCAACUUAAAAGAGGGCAGUCCGACAAUAUUGGUGUUUCGAGUUGGCUUGGCUACAAUUUAAGGAUUUUUCUUCGCUGUUUGACAUCGUAGCAUCCAUAAACCACAUCUCCCAACCAAGAUUGUUCAUAUUAACCUUUUCGAAUUAUUAGCAUUGUUCUGAUUUGUAUAACUAAUUGCAACGCAACCAAUAAUAAAUUCAACAGAACAACCAAAUGCAACCCAUUUUUCUCAAAACUUUCGGAGCAAGUUUUCUUUAGUGUGUGUAGGUGCCGUAUUCCAAAAGGCACCUAACCAUGCCACAUGUCCAUCUUAUAAGAUAAUAAAAGAUAUUCCAGAGUGUUUGCGGCUGAUUUUGGGUCAAUGAAUAAAAAAUCACAAAACCAACCCAAGAACAAUGAAUUUAUAUUUUUGUCGGGGAGCGGGGUACCUCGCUUGCUCGGUACGUGCGGGCUGUUUAGGCUUUUUGUGGAGUGAAAGAAGAUUGAGAUGGUGGUGGAUAUGAAGGGGGUAUGACUUCAGGUGCGGAGGGCUGGUGAAACUCGCCUUAAACUUGCGAAACAACCAAAAAAGAGAUCAGAGGUGGAGCCGAGGGUGGCCGACGACCACACUCCGACGCUCAAGUCAGAGUUGGGUUAUUUCAGGUUAGAGAGCUUGCAAGCUCUCGGUAAUGGAGGUUUUGAGGUUGAAGAAACCCUAGUUUUUGGUGGUGUGUGUGUUAACUUACUUGAUAAAAAUUAAACCUGAGUAUUUAUAUAGUGUACCUCGAUCACCAUGCCACCUGGCGCUAUUUUAGUGGCGUUCCCUGCUGUUAUGUCAGGAAUAUUCUUAUUUUCAUACUUAUGGCGGCUUAGGCGUUUUAAAAAUAUGCGUGGAGAGUAAGUUUGUGGCGUAUGCAUGUGCUGGGCGUAAUUGAGUGGUCUCGCGUACCUCUGCAAUUCCGUUGUAAUUUUGCAGGUGUAGCAGGAAAAGCUGGUGGUCCCAACUGUCAUAAUAUCAAACUUUUGGUAGAUUCGCUGGCGUGACAGGCGGUUAUCUCCUCUUUUGCAGCACGAGAUUUCCUCGCUGAUUCCUUAUUUUUGACACGUAUUAAACCGAUAUAUUUAAGAUCCAGGGCUAGGGCCGACAUAUCCCUUUACAUUUUUACGAAGACUUUUUACAUCUUUACAUGGUGUACCCGAGGUACCCCUGGAGUGCCUAGGGUACCCGAGAUACCCAAGGUAAGCUAAUGUUUUGAAUAUCGACACGUGGCGCUUCAUCAUUGGCCUCAUAUUUCCUUCCCAAAUACAGAGUAAAUAACACCCAAGUUAUUCCGGGGGAAAAACAUUUAAGGUAAAAAUUCUUCUAGAAUUUAUAAAAAUGGUAAGAGGGGGGAAUUAAUUCCGCAAUCCAUUAGUCUAAGGAAAUCACAUCCAAAUGUCAUACAAAUAAGGAAACAUAUAAGGCCGGAAUAAUUUCCUAGAUCAUAUUCGCCUCUAAGUGUACAUGCAUGAUGGGUGACACAUGUCGUUAGAUUGAAAGUUCAAAGCAAAUUCCUAAAUCCACAUCAUUCAUCAUCUAUAAAUAGAUACUCAUCUCUAUGAAAAAAAGGGGGUCUUUGACCUCUAAAAAAAACAUUGUUCAUAUCUAGAGAGAGAAAUUUAUCUUAUCCAUUUUUUCUCUUUCUUUAAUUUUAAUUAAAAACUAACUUGGGCAUCGGAGUGUCUUUUGCAGGUUUUUACCCCUCCGGAUUCGAGGUUAAGGAUCGUGACAAGUUCUCCACAAGUUACAAAUACGUGUGAAGGUAAAAAAGUCCUAGUCACCUUCAGUGUGCUUUUGAAAUGCAACAAACCAAGAUACUAGAAAUAUUUCUAAAAGAUAGUUUAAUACAGUUAAGAUAUAAUUAUACUCUCUCUAUAUAUUUAUUAUAAUUUAGAGCUUAUAAUAGCGUAUAUUGUGUAACACAUCAAUUCUACUAACAAGGCACUAUAGUGGAAUUGAAGGCACUAUAAUGUAUAUUGUGUAAUAGCGUAUAUUGUGUAACACAUCAAUUCUACUAACAAUGCACUAUAGUGGAAUUGAAGUGAAACUGUAUUUCAUCAAUCUCAUUUGUAAAACCACCAAAAUAACAUUCAAUGAUAAAUGUUCCAAAACCUCCAAAAGAAAAUAAAUUCUAAAAUAACAUAUCCUCAGAUAAAAAUCAUCUCAAAGGAAAGUAAAUUAUUCUUGGAUUAUCAACAUAACAUUAAUCCCAAAAGUAACUGAGCUCUUAUUCUGUUGGUUUAAAAAUAUUUUACAUCGGAAAUAUUUGGAUUGCAAUUCUCAUACAAUAUAAAAAAUUACCAUAAUCCAGAUAUCGUACAUUUUCUUUUUUGUUGAAAUAAUUUAGGCUCGCAGAUCAUGAUCCGUCACCAUCACUCUUGUUAGAUCACCAUCCGUCACCACCAAUCUUGUUAGAUCACGAUCCGUCACCAAUGAUCUUCCAAGUUAUGACUCAAGUUUGAUAUGCACUUGACGCGUGGGCCCCUUUUUCACCACUAAAAGCAAGUAGUAAAAGAAAAAUUCCUCUCAAAAUUAGAAAGAAAAACUCUUUUUCUCUGAUCUGGAUAUUGUGGCUCCUCUAUCUUUUUUGUGGAGAAAAAAAUUCUAUUUAUAUCUCUAUUUAGUAUAAACCAUAGGCUCCAUAUUAAUUUUUUUAUAUUUUUAAUUCUAUUAAAUCAAAUUUGAUUUAAAUUAAAAAAUAAAACCAAAAGUGUUAAUGUUAUAAAGGCCCACCUUGUAAAAUAAUACAAGGCCUCUUACAUACAAGCACAUUAAAUAGAGUCUCCUACUAAAUAAUAUAUUUAAACUUUUAACUCAAGUAGACAUAAUAAAGACUAAACAUAAAAAUCAACAUAAUUUUCAGAGAUUAUUGGAAUAGACAGAAAAAUCACAUAAUCAGACAUGCUGCUGAAAAUCGAAAUUUUCUAGCACUACUAUUCUAAUUUCAAAAAUUCACAACAAAUUAAUUACUUGAAAUCUCUUUGCACAAAAUUUAUCAGUGAAUGCCUUAGAAUGUUUAGUUUAAUUCUAUGGUAACUUUCGUGGAAAAAAUUGAAUCAAAGACAAAGAGAAAAUAGUAUUCAAAUCACAACACUCAUGUCUCAUAUUGCUUAACUAGUCAUUCAUGAUAAAAAGAACAAUACAUGCAUUCGUCAUCAAACACAUAAUAUUACAAAAUAUGUACUAAAGAAAGAUAAUUACCUCAAAAGUUAUUUAAAACGUGCAUAAAAGAAAACCUUAGAAUUCUUUACUUUUAUACGAUUAUUAGGUUAAAGAGUUUUAAUCGUAGAGAGAAAGAAAGAGUUUGAGUUUUGUAAAUAUACAUUUUUAAAAAAAUAAAUAAAUAAAAGAAUUAUGCUUUAUCUCAAAUAAUACUAAUUCAAAUAAUUUAACACAAGCAACGAUAAACAACUAAACAAAUAAGCAUAAUCAAACAAACAAGGAACGAUUGUUACAUAUUAAAACGAGUAUGAAUCAAGAAACCCAACCAAAAAGGAAAAACAUGCGACUUUGAGUGAAUAUAAUUAGUGAUGGGCAAUACUUACGUGGACAAUUAAUUACAGGCAAGAGGCAAUUGUUAUUCAUGUCUUAUGAUCAUAGCCUCAGUUUAUUCACCAGAAAAUCACAUGACGAUGAUUGGCAAAAAGACGAUCAACAAAUGCAAGUGAACUGAAGAAGAGAAGAGGAUCGUGAAUCAGUAGCUGUUAUGGUUUUGCAAACAAAAUUGCUCAAAGAAAUCACAAGAUCGAAGUAAAGAAUAAGAAAGAAUCAACAAGAUCAAAGAACAAAACUAAAAAUACAAUGAAUAAGCUUCAUUGUUUGAAGGAAAAACAACAUGCCUUUUAUUACUGAAACUUAUUACCCAUCAAUUAACCUUUAUAGAAGAGAUUACAAGCUUUUAAAGAAAAUAAGAACCACUAAAUUUGGUUAAGAAACGAAUGAGAAAGAACCCAAAAAAUUGGGUGCUGUGCAAUAACCUUUCUUAAUAUUACUAGAAAUUUUCCAAAAACACACUUCACAACCUUAACGACAUUACUUACGUCAGCAAAAUUAUUUGCACACUUACUCUUAGAUUGUAGUUAAUCAGCACUCUGACCCAUGAAUUCUCUCUAGUUUGCACUUAGGUCCCAUAAAGAGAAUUCAUUUAUUCACAGUCUCCACUUUACUGAUAUGAUAUAGUUUGACAUUCAACCACAAAAGCUGCUAAAAAAAAAAAAAUCAAGCACACAAUUAUCACAAUAAUUGCACAAAGUAAUUAACAAGUACCGACUAUAACUCUUAUCAAAUCAACUUAAAACUUGAACUUAGUAGCAGAGAUGACAUUGGUAAGCACAUCAGCUUGGUUAACAUCAUUAUGUAUUUUGGAUACUACCAAAACACCUUUAGCUACCUCAUCUCUUAUUAAAUAAAGUUUAACAUCAAUGUUCUUAGUCUUCUAAUGAUAAAUCUGAUUUUUAAUGAGAUGAAUGACACUUUGAUUAUCACAAAAAUUGUAACUGUCUUUUGUUCUAACUAAAGUUUAUUUAAGAUCCCAUUAAACCAUUUUGCUUCUUUUAUAGCUUCAAUAGUAACAACAAACUCAACUUCUGUAGAUGACAAAGUGAUAGUAGGCUAUGAGCUUGCUUUCCAGCUGAUCAGACAACCAUUCACCAAGAUUAGAUAACUUGAUAUUGACUUUUUGCCAUUCAAAUCCCUAGCAAAGUCAGAAUCAAUAUAUCCCACAAUUAUCUCAUCAUCCUGCUUUGCUUUACCAUAUAUUAAAGCAUGAUUUGAGCUGCCUUUAAGGCAUCUCAUGAUCUCUUAAUUGCAUCUCAGUGUUCCUUACCAUGAUCACUCAUAAACCUACUGAUAGCACUAAUAACAUAAGAAAUGUCAGCCCUUGUACAAAUUAUAGCAUAUAUAAGGCUUCCAACUUCUUGUGCAUAUAGUACUUUAUCCACCAAGAACCUAUAUUGUCUUGUUGAAAGUGCUUGUAACUUGGAGAGUUUGAAUUGCGGACCCAAAUAAGUCAAAACAGGCUUUGUAUCUAGCAUGUCAAACUUGUCAAGAACUUUUUUAAUGCAUCUCUUUUGGCUGACAAACAAGGUAUUUUUGCUUUUAUUUUUGAUAAUGUCCACCCUAAGUAUCCUUUUUGCACAACCAAGGUCCUUCAUUUCAAAUUCUCCACUCAGAAGCCUCUUAAGCUUCUCACUCUCCACUUUUAUUUUUCUGGCAAUCAGCAUAUCAUUAAUAUAUAGCAGAAGAUAAAUUGCUCUACCUAAAUUUAAGCCACCAAAAUAGACACAACUGUCAUAAUUGCUUUUGAAAUAGUCAUUUGAGUUUGUGAACUCAUCAAACCUCUUAUAACAUUGCCUAGGAGAUUAUUUAAAGCCAGAGAGAGAUUUGUUCAACAAACAAACAUGAUCUUCCUUCCCUUUUACUUCAAACCCCAAAUGUAAAAAUCUCUUCUUCUAUAUUCCCAUGUAGAAAAUCAAUUUUUACAUCUAUUUGGUCUAGCUCUAAAUCAAUCAAAGCCACCAUAGACAACAAUAUCCUUAUAGAGUUGUGUUUCACUAUAGAGGAGAAAACUUCAUUGAAGUUCACUUUUGUCUCUGUGUAAAUCCCGUAGCAAUUAGUCUUGCUUUGAUUUUUGAAGCCUCUGCAUCUAAAAUCCCUUCUUUUCUUUUAAAAAUCCACUUACAACUCACUAGUGUCUUAUUCCCUGGAUUUGGAAUAAGAGUCUAGGUUGAUUUCUCAUUAAGGAAUCCAUUUUUUCAGACAUGGCCUUUAUCUAAUUGCUGCUAUCAUUGUAUUUAACUGUUUCUGAGUAGUUCCUAAGCUCUUCAACUACAAUAUCUUCUACAUUGAUGAGUGCACAUGCAAUCAUCCUAACAUAUACAUAUUUGGCAGGUCUUUUAAUCUGAUUUUGUCCUUUGCUAGUUGGUAAUUUUGUAAAUCAAUUUCAGAUGCUCUUAGUUCAUCCACUUCAGACCUUUCUUGAAAGCCUUUUAUGACAUCCUUAUCUUGGACUUCAUUAUCACUGCUACUAGAUGACUUUACCUCGAUUUUAGAAUCUUUCACAAUUGUGAUUUCCUUUAUUAACUCAUUAGUAUAGGGACUCAUAUCAAAGACAUCAGUAUCUUUAUCAUUGAUUAUUACUUCCUCAUAAAAUGUCACAUCUCUAUUAAUAAUACAUUUGUGAGUAAUCUUAUACCAAACUUUGUACCCUUUAACCCCUUCAUGAUAUCCUACAAACACCCUUUUAGAGCCUUUAUAUUAAGCUUCCCUUGCUUCACAUUAACAUAUAUUAGACAAUAAAAAAUUCUCAAAUAUUUGUAGUUUGUAGGGAAAUCAUCCCAAAUUUCUUCUAGUGUCUUUAAAUUUAAGGCUGCAGAAAGACUCAUAUUCACCAAGUAACCAGUUGAAUUAGAAACUUCUUCCUAAAAGCUUCUUGGUAAUUUGGAGUUAACUAGUACACAUCUUGUCUUAUUAAUGAGAGUCUUAUUCAUUCUCUCAACUAAGUCAUUUAGCAGACACCUUACAUUUUUGUGCAUGAUAAUUCCACACAUUUAGCUAUAAUCAUCAAACUCUUUAUUAUGAAAUUCAAGCCCAUUAUCAGUCUUUAAAACCUUCACCUGUAAACCAAUAUAAUUCUCAACAAUAGCUUUCCAUAUUUUAAACUUCUGAAGAGGUUGACAUUUGUUUUAACUAUAUACAACUAUAUGUUUCUUGAGUUGUCGUAUGUUAAAGUCAUGAAUUACUUUCCACUACUGAAUGAUGGAACUUGAGCAAGCCCCCAUAGAUCAGAAUGCAUAUAUUCCAAUUACAUUCUUGGCCUUAUGCAAUCCCUUCUCAAAUUUUACUCUGUGAGCCUUUCCAAAGAUGUAAUUUUCACAAAAAUCCAGCUCUUUAAUUUUAUCACCAUACACGUACAUUAGCCCCUGCUUGCUCAAUUCUUGCAUGCCCUUAGUAUUUAUGUGGCCAAGUCUUAGAUGCCACAACUUAGCUUUGUCAACAUUAGGUUCAAUAUGCAGAGUAGAUAACAUAGUCACAAAUAAGCCUUCCAGCGCAUAGAGCCCAUUUUUCUUGACACUUUUCAUCACUACAUCAGUGUUUUUCAUUAUCUUUAAACUACUGUGGUAUGAUUUAAAGAAAUACCUCGAGCUAUCUAGCAUGCCUAAAAAAAUUAGAUUCUCUUUUAGUCCAGACAUAUGCCUUACAUACUCUAGAGUCUUCGUUGUUCUAUCAUACAUUUUGAUUUUCACAGUACCAAUACUAAUAAUUCAUAAGCAUUGUGGUUACUAAUCAAUACUCUACCACCAUCAGUAGGCUCAAAUUCAUGAAAAGACUCUUAUCAGGACUCAUUUGGAAAGAACACCAAGAGUCAAUAACUUACUAAGCUUUAAUCUCUCCAUUUGAUGCAACUAGUAGAUUGGCAUUGUGAUAGAACAACCCUUACCUAAAUGUGAAGGCUUUAUUCAUGAAAAAGGCUUUUGAAUCUUUUUUUUUUUUUUAGCACAAGUAAACCUUCACAUCUUCUAACGUAAGGGUUGUUCUAUCAUAUAACAUGGUGUCAACAAAGCCCUUAUGAGACUUUGGUAGUGAGCUCAAUAAAAAAAAAAAAAAAAGCCUUGUCUUCACCACCAAUCUUGAUAUUUUCAACCCUUUCAGGAUCAAGAAUGAUAUUGUUGAAAACAUCAAUAUGAUCUUGCAUUGAGAUACCUUCUUUCAUGGAAAAUGUAUACAACCUCUUCUUUAAGAAUAACCUAUGAGCCAAUGACUUCUUUAAGCAUAAAGCCUCCACUUUAUUCCAGAUACUAAGGCUGUUGUUUCCCUUAAAAUCUCCCAAGAUUGCAUCAUUAAGAUUCAAAAUCAAUAUGUUGUGUGCUCUGUUAAGAAUCUACCUUUUCUUUUCAUUAGGUUUAGAACUUGUUGCACUAUCUAAAUCUUCUUCUUUUUCUUCUAGGGCUGACUUAAGCCCUUGAUGAAUCAGCAAUGUCCUCAUCUUCAAUUUCCAGAGAGAGUAAUCACCAAUAAUAAUGAACUUCUCAAUGUCUAAUUUAGAAAGAGACAUAUUUCACUAGGGUAAAUCUAGGUUCUGACACUAAUUGUUAUGGUUUUCCAAAAAAAAAAUUGCUCAAAGAGAUCACAAGAUUAAAGUAAAGAACAUAGAAAGAAUCAAUCAUAUCAAAGAAGAAACUAAAAACACAAUGAACAAGUUUCAUUGUUUAAAGGAGAAACAACAUGCUUUUUAUUAUUCAAAGCGAUUAUAAAUCAAUCACCCUUAUUGAAGAGAUUACAAACUUUCAAAGAAAACAAGAAUUAUUGAAUUUGGUUGAGAAACAACUCAAAAAACUAGGCGCUAUCCAAUAGCCCUGAAAUUUUCUAGAAACACACUUAGCAACCUUAGCGACGCUAGCCACGUCAGCAAAAAUAUUUGCACAAUGACCCCUAAACUAUAGUCAAUCAGCACUCUGAUCCACGAACUCUCUCUCGUUUGCACUGAGGUCCCAAAAACAAAAUUCAUUUCUUCACAGCAGCGUAUCCCGAUAAACUAAGGCUAUGUUCAGUUGGCAGGAGAGAAGCCUGGAAAGGAAAGAAUCUCAGUUUCCUAAGAAGUUUCCUCUAGUCGGUUUGCAACAAUUUACUGUUGAAACCAAAUUCUGUGAUUUGAGGAAUUGACUUUCCUCUUUGAUUAGCAAGGAUGACGAGGGAGGGAAUCUCAUUUAAAUAGAGUGAGUUUCCAUUUUACCCUUAAAUAUUAAUUUCGUAUUUCAAUCUUUAACCAAAUUAAAUGAAAUAUGACCCUAAUUCGCAUUUCGUGUUCAGCAUCUCUCUUAUCUGAACUAUCGGCAGCUAUCACCGGCGAAAUGCAGCUAUUGGGACGGCGUUUGAAUCUUAUUACCUUUCGCCGAUGAGCUCCAAGCCAAUGACAAAGACCUUCAUUGCUAUAGGCGACGACAUUUGAAUCGUAUGAGCUUUCUCAUCCCUUUCAUCCAUUUUAAUUUUGUUUCUUUGGUUAUUUUGAUGGUAUUGCUGACUUGAAGAGGGCUACUGAGUCUUUUGUUGCUUGAAUUUGGAUUAGUUUUUGUUAUUUCAGACGUGGGAUUUUGUGUCGCUGUUGUAGAUUUUGUUGUUUUAUGUUGUUUAUGGAUGAUUAAGUUUUAUUUCGUAGCUUACUGUUCAGAGUUGACAAAACGUAAAUAGCAGCCCAUUUAUAAUUUGAAUAUGAUCUCUUGUUCUGUUGCUUUUUAAUUAAUGGUCAAUUGUGCAAGUUAAUUUUCAUGGAAGGUUGUUAUUGAUCAUCAACUUAAUCUUCAAUUUUCAUGUUUAACUAGAUGCCGUGAUUAUGAUGAUUAGUUUAACUGGGAAUGUCCUUUUCAAUUUGCAACCAUGACAAGGAGAUGGGGUUCAGGACGAAGGGUAAUAAUCUCUGCUACCUUUCUGGGGAAGUUUACGUGUGUGUAUAUAUAGAAUCAUGGACGGUUUUAGGAGUACAAGUGUCCAGCUUUUUAAUUUUCUUUUUCUUUUAGCUUUUAUUCCAUUGCCUACUUUUGUUUUCUAUCAGUUACAACAUUUUCUUUUACUAGUUUAUCAACAGAUGGGGAUUAUUUCAUGAAUAAUUGCUAAAAGUUGAACUACCAAUACCCCAUAGAAAUGUCCAAUAUGUUAACGUAGCCAGCCACUGCCUGGUUCCUUUUUAUCUUUCUAUUGCUUUAUGCCUCUUGGGCUUAAUAUUUCUAAAAUUAUUGGCCUAAAAGUAAUUAAACCCUGUUAGUCGCUGUUUUCACUUAUUACACUCAGCAUAAUACCCACAUUGAAAGUAAUUCUAGGCCUAGGAAGAGGAUAUAAAUCAUUUUCAGCCCAGCAAGGCCCCAUUAUUUGAGACUUUUUGGAAAACAUUAGGACUAUCCUUUGAUUGAAAAAUGAAGUAUUAUUGACCAAUUGAUUGAAAAAGAAAUGAAUAUAUUUGUAUAUAUUAAUUCAAUUUGAUUAUCUGGUGAAAUGCCAGUGAAACAGCAGCUAGGCUAAGGCUAGCAAUGGACAUGCAAAUAUGCUGUUUCCAAAUAAACACCUUUGUGCUGCUGCUUGAGUUGAAAUUAGCGUAGUCAGCAGUGAAUAUAUUGCUCUAUUGGAUUCAAAUGGUGAAUUAAUUUGAAAGAAAAAGUGAGAAAAUUAAUGGUGAGUGAUAAAUGCCAACGUUGUAUGUUCACGGACUGAGAGUUGGAUAAUAAUACUUGGUGCAUUUAAGUAAUUAAAAUUUAGAGACAUUGUAUGAUCAUCCACUGAGAACUGGAUAAUAAUUGCGACAUGGCUAGCAAUUUUUGUCAAAGUCCUUGAUUCAAUAUUCUGUAAACAAAAGCUAGCUGGCUUGUAUAAAUUGUCUAAAUUUGUAUCUAGUUUCACCUUUGAAAAACUUGGUCUUUCACUUCUAAUAUUAGUGAUGGCUUAAUAGAUAUUAAUUUGGAAAUUUUGAUUGAUUUUAGAAGGCUGUGAGGUUUGAUUUGUUAAAAGAGACAGCUGAAAAUUAGUGAUGACUUAAUAGAUAUUUCAACGUAAACACUGUUAAAAGAUUUAUUUUUAUUUUUUUCUUUUGGUUGUGGAAUUAUUUGUUGAUAUAACUAAACACUGUCUUUUCUUUUUGUUUUAUUGGUUACAAUAAUGAAUGACUUGUGCUUAACUGUGUUUGCUAAUAUCAGUAGUGAUUCUUUAUAUAUAUAUCUGUAUAUCUACAUAAGACAUGCUCUGUUUCCUCAGCUGCAUCCCAACUGCAGUUUGAAUUUAAUUCAGCUGGUGGAGAUGAUGGAACCAUAAGGUAUAAUCGAGCCACGUCAAUGCAUGCAGCCAGAGAUCGUUGAUCACAUUCAUCCUAAGCUUUCAGAUUACAAUGACUUGGCUAGAAGAAAGAAGAUAGCAGUAUUUUUUAUUCAUUUCUUCCCACAAUUGAUAUUCAUGAUGAAUUUCCUGUGUGUCAUCAUGUUAAUUAUGUUUAUCCUUUUUUUAUAUUAAAAAAAUUAUGUUUUUAUUUAAGUUUUUAUUAUUUCAUUUUCUGAGCUGUGGAUACAAUAAUAUUCAUGUCGUAAAUCAUGGCAAGAGCACUUCCAAUAAAAAGCACUAAAAGUACUAUAAACCAUCAUAACAUGUUACGUAAUUCGAUCAUUGAGAAUGAAACAUACAAAUUAUUGAUUUUUAAAUUGUUAAAUAUAUUUUUACUUUUUAAAUUAUAUUCAGGAUUCCCCUUAGGUGCAACUGUGGCACGGUGCCACUGUUGCACCGUAGCCUGAUCCUUAUAUUCAAUAAUAAAUAUUAAAAAUUUAACACAAAGGGUAAAAAAUUGUCCAAUUAAAAAAGGCUUAAUUCCUUUUUUCUAUGAUUUUCAUGUCAAAUCAAACAACAGAAAUUGAAUUCCUUACUCUUCUUUUUUUCCUACUCUCCUCUUUUUUCUUCUUUUCUACUCUCCCCUUCUUUCUUCCAACUAAAUAUAGCGUAAAGGCUCAGUGUAUUUCUAAUUGUUUUAAUUUAAAAAUAAAAGUGUUUAUUCCGAAUUAAUGUUUAUUUAAAAUUGAAAAUCCUAAUUUCCAAAAAAGAAAAACACUAAAAGUUCGUUUUGUAUUAGCUGCUCCUAUAGUUAAUUUUUAUUUGAGGAAAACUAUUCGGAUUUAAUUUUACUAUGGACUUUUGAGCAAAUUAUGGAAUAUGGGGUACUUCCACGCCUCAUUCUUGAGGUCUGGAGUUUAAGUAUUCUUGUGGGCAGCCAUUGAUUAUUCACAUUAAUUUUCCUAUAGAAAUUUGAGAAUUUACCCAGUACACUAAAUUUAGUGCAUAGUUACAUUAAUUUCAGUAGGUUCUUGUAGAUUUAUAAUAGUAAAUAUUAGUCAAUUGUAAUGUUAUUCACAAGGGCGAAAAAAGUACAUUUCAAAUUAAUGUAAAACAAUAAAUGGUUUUUCAAUUUUUAGAUAUAACUUUUUAAACUUUUUUUUUGGGGGGAGGGGGGAGUACUAGUUAAUUUUACUAACAAAACUUUAAACAGUUGAGUAGAAAUAUCAUAGGAUUAUCAUUGGGCAAUACUUCACAAAAAAGUAUAUUCUUAAGACUAGAUUUUGUGACGCAUAUUGUCUUUUCUAGUGAUUGUAGUUUCAAAACGAUAAUUUAUUGAAUACGGAACAUUACUUUUUGUUUUUAAUUUUUUUGGGUGGGGCUAUAUGCACCUUUAAAUUUUCUCUGAACACUCAUAUUUUUAUAAAUUUUUUACUACAAAAAUACCUAUAAUAUAAAUUACUAUUAAGGAUACUUUAUUAUGAGCGUAUAUAGUAUUAUUAAUCUGAACAUGCAUUUAGACACCGAAAUCAAUGGUUGAUUUUCUUACCGUUUUAAACUUUAAUUUCUUCCAAGUACCUUAAACAAAAGUUUAUAGAGAAAACUCAAUAUGUCUUAAGAAUUUAAUGUUGAUGAGAUGUGAGAUCCUUUUGAUUUUCUAUUUUACAACACAAAAAAUCUUUAAUGAUCAAAGAUAUAUAUGACAAUCAUCAACCCUCUUCCUUGUUCUUCCCCCUUGCUGAUUUUCUCUAUUUUGAAUGAAUGAAUAGUUCAUGAUGUUGCCCUCUUUGUCAUAAGUGGUUUAUAAGCACAUGGCUUCAAUGGUUAGGUAGUUAAAUUGUACUUUUUAUUUGCAAGACAUAGCUUCAACUCAAACUUUCAAUGUUAAUUCAGAAUACUUAAUGGAUUAUACUAAUGAUUUAUCAAAUAUGAGGCGAGUUUCAUUUUCCAAUUUAGUAUUGAGUAAAUAUUUUACAAUUUGUUACCCUAAUUAGACUUUGAUUGCAAAAUAGAAUCUGAAUACUAUCGUCAUUGGAAACUUCAAACUUUGCUUACCUUCUGGUUUUAGGUUGGUACUUUAUUAACUUAUUAUAGAGGAAAAUUUUCUGCUGAUACAAAAUGUGAAUAAUGCAACGUGCAUUUAUUCUUUGCCAAAUCUAUCAAUCAUGAGGUGACAUCCUAUCCCACCUCUAGCAGUCAAUUGGUAAAGAUUUCAUAGUUUUUGUGCCAAAGGAUGGGAGACAAUAUGCAUUCCUCAUGCAACAUUUCAAGGAAAUAAUUGGUGGCAAAGUAGCUAUGAAAGAAAUAAUAAUAGAUGUUGACGGCAAUUCUCAAUAAAUUUCUUGAUUUAUUUUUGCUUGGAAGAUUAAUUAUUUUUUGUAUGACUCUAAUUACUUCUUUUUCAGUUAUAUUAUGAUGAUAUUAAACAAGUUUAUAUUGUUUAAUUGAUUUAUUUAUUUGGUUUAUAAUAUUUAUUUCUCACGAUAUUUUUAUAGGUAAAAUAUUUUGAUGAGUUUUGUUAGUUGCUCCUAUUUUGUUAUUUAUCAUUCUUUGUUUAUUGGUGAAAUUUAUUAUAGAACCGAAUAAUUAAAUUUUAAUAAUAAAAGAGUGUUUAGAGAAAUUUUUUGAGUGUGUAGAGAGUAAAUAAAGAUAAUUAAUUUAAAGAAAAUUAAGUGAGGAUAUUUUUGACAUUUUAAAGGGUGUACAAAGUAUAAUUCAUUUUUUAAAAUUAAUAAAUGAGUGUGUAUGAUAAUAAAAUGUUCAAAAUAACUUUUAGAGUGCAUAUAGACCCACCCAAUUUUUUCCCAGGUCGAGUAACACAAUGUUUCCUCAAAUGCACAUAUUUUCUUGUUCAUAUUAACUACAAAAAUACAUAGAAAUAUCCAAGAUUUUUAUCUUUAAUCCAAAAAACCAUUGAGUUUCCCAAGGUUGACCCAAACAACCCAAAAUUAGCCCCUAUGAAAAAAAAAAAAAAAAAAAAAAAAGCUUGAAAUAACAGUAGAAGGGGGAAGUAUUGCUACUUGUACUUUCGUUUUCAUAUUAACUACAAAAAUACAUAGAAAUAUCCAAAGAUUUUUCUCUUUAAUCUAAAAAACCAUUGAGUUUCCUAAAGUUGACCCAAACAACCCAAAAUUAGCCCCUACGUUAAAAGGCAAAAAGAAAAGGAUCGAUGGUUACAAGUUGAAGUUGACAGCCUCUAUAUUGCUCAGCUGCUCACUACUCCUACGGUAACAGCUAAUGAAUUUUCUCAAUUGAUUAGGUCCGUUAAAGAUCUUAUUAAUCGUGAUUGGCACAUUAGUAUUAAUCAUGUUUAUAGGGAGGCUAAUUAGCAAACUAUGCUCUAUAAUGUUCCCAAACCCUCCUCUGGCAUCAUCGAUUAUUUUCAACAUGACAUAUAUGAGGUAGCUUACUCCUGUUUUGUUUUACCCUAACUCCUUUUUAGAACCCCUUUGUAUAAAAAAAGAAAAAAGAAAAAAAUAUUGAAAUAACAGUAGAAGGGGCAAGUAUUGCUACUUGCAAGAUUCAAAACUGCUUAUUAUUUGCCAAAUAUUAAUUGAUAUUUAAAACCCAAACGAUAUACGUUGAUUUUGUUAUAUAGUAGCACAAAUCCUGAACAUUUGAGUAAAACCUACUCCAUCCGGUGAGGAGCCCGUGAAGGCUCGAACCAGGCAUAGUAAUAAACUAUUCGUCCAAUCUCUUUUUUUUUUUUGGACAAAACUUUAACUUGUCAUUCUAUUUCUACUACUAAUUGUUAUUGGUGGAUAUCCUCAUUUAAAAUAUCGUUACCAACCAUCAUCCUAGAUGCCUACACAUGUCACAAGGGAACCUAAGCGUGAAAAUAUAAAAAAAAGAAAAAUAAAAGCAUAGAAAAGGGGGGGAAAGUUGGGCACAUGGGGAAUCAGCCAUAAGUAGCAAGGUAUCAGACCCUCGCCCAGAAAUCUCUUGAUGGCUGAUGAGGGAAGCUGAAUUCUCGAGAAAAAUAGUUGGGAGAAUCGAAUCAGUUGUCCUUUUCUAUUUGAUAUAAUACGGUCUAGCUUACAAAACUAUAAUAAGAGUGGAUUCUCUUGCCCGACUUAGCUUUCAAACAAGAAGAGCUGUCGAAUUCCAAUUUCAUGUAAAUAGAAUCAAGCAUAAUUAUUUCUUCAAAAUAGUAUCUAUAACCAGAUUCCAAAAGCCUAAAAAAAAAGAAAAAUUGGGAUGUGAUUUUAUGUAUUCAGCCGAAUUGACAUGUGAUACUAUGACGAGCCACGUAUUUAGCCAUACUUGUUUUAAUUACUUUUAAAUCAGAUCAAUAGGACAAAGAAUUACCCAUUAUUCGGGUGAUAAAAUCUCCUCUUUCUAAACAUGUGUGCAUAGCAUAACAUUGCGAGGGAGAUUUGCUUCUAAUGAUUUGAAAAUAAAUCAAGCCCAAACAUUUGGGAAGCACUACCAAUGUGAAAAAUCAAUACAAUAAGAUUAUGCUUAGAUUAUUCAAAAUACCAAAAGAUACGUCAUGUAACCUAUUCAUUCAAGUAAAGAAAAUUUGGCCGACAACCUCUUGGUUACGUAUUUUGUGUUUGUAAAAAUUGUUUGAUAUCUAGAUUAUAUUUUCCCAAAAGUUUAGUGUUUGUAAAAUUCCCUCUUGAAUUCAACUAAUCAUUUCUUCUAAGUAAUUAUUUUACUUUAUAAAAUAAAUAUUUUUUAUAUGUUUUUUGCUAUUGCAUAGAUAUGACACCAUUUAUGACAAUACGUUUAAAAUUCAGUGGAGACAAAUCUACUGUAAGAAAAUAAAAUUUUAAAAAAUAAAUAAAACAUGGAAGAUUUUGGGUAUAAUAUCAUGACGAGUAAAAGAUUAGAGAGGACAGAGAAAUGAAAAGAUGAAGGAAGGCGUUAGAAAAUGAGUUGGGAAAGGAAAAAGGUAAGAGAAAGCAGGCUAAUUUAGUUUAAUAAUGGUAAUUUUAUGUAUUGAAUUGGGUUUAUAAAGUAAAAAAACUUUAAUUUAAAAAUUUCAUACUAUGCUUAUUUAAUAAAUGAGUUUUGUAAGCAUUUUGAUGGAUUCAAAUAAUCUCAUCCUUAUUAUUAUUUGUCUUUGAAUUUUUUUGAGAAAGUCUAAAUAAGCUUUGUUCUAUAAUUUUUUGUCAAACGAAUACACAAUAAGGCCUAUGCCAUGACAUUGCAUCAAACAACUUAUAUGUGUUAUUGUUUAAUGCGCAUUAUGUGCUCAAUUAGAAAUAUCGAGAGCUUUUUAUUCUAACACUUGUUAUUGUUCUUCAUUUUCACUACCAAAGUCAUAACAAUUACACCACCAAUACAACAAAUUGAUUUGAUGCUAAAAAAGACGCACUCUCAUGAUGUUUAGCACUUGAUUGCAUGAUUAAAUUCAAUGGAGAUAUGAGAGUAUAAAAAUUUAUUGAAUUAAUGGAGUGGUUUUGGGGGAAAAAUUUAGAACAUGUUCUUUUUAGUGCAUUUUUAUCAACAAAAUGAGUUUUUGACUAUUAAAACAACAGAACAAGAUGAAUUAAAAGGUCGAAAUAAUUAAAAUAAAAAAUAAGAAAAUUUUUGAUAAUUCUCAAACUAAUUUUCGAAGGGGAGGUCUCAUCGAAAUUCUUUAUUAAUUUUUUUUAAAAAUAUAUUCUCAAUAUACAGUCAUUUUCAACGGGAUUGCUCUCGAAAAUCCCAAUUAAAAUAUGCGUUAUCUUCAAAAUCUCUUUGUUUUAUAACAUCCUUAAAGAGUAAUGAAAGAGGAGUCAUAUAAUUAUGUAACAUUAAGCUAAAAGUUUCUAAUUUUUAGAGUUCAAUCUUUGUAGAAACUUAAUUAUUUCCUUUAACGUGUACAUGGGCACCUUCCUAAUUGGUGUGAAUAAACUAGAGACUUUAUUAAUCAAAAUGAAAAAUAAACCUAAACGGUUUAGCAUUUAUAAGAAUCAAAGUUUGAAGUGCUUUUUCACUUUUUCCUUUCUCUUUUUUCACUGGUUUAAAUAUUCAUAUAUGAUUCCGUGAGUAAAUUAUUCAUCGUCAAGACCGAUAUAACUCAAAUUAAAUAUAAAACUGUGAGAUCAUAGCUAAUAAUUUUUUUUGGGUAAAUUAACUAAAGAAAAAAGAAAGAAAGAGAGGGCGGGGGAAAAAAAAAAAAAAGACAAUGUAAAGGCUCUGUGCAUGAGGGAUAAGAUGGGAUCUUUAAAAGCACCAACCAGGUUUAAGCGGGAGAAAUUCUGUCACUAGAAACCCUAACAGUGAUAUCUUUACCCUGUUAAGAUUAAAGAUUCCCCAGCAUAGUUCGAUAUUAAAAAGCGAAUAAGGAUAUGCCAGUUGUUUCUUAACUUAUAUUAUUUGUCCAUAAACAUUGCAAAGCUCAAGACUCCAAUUAAUAUUUAACAAAUUUAAAAAGAGAUGGGUCUUUCUUUAACUAUGUAUGCUAGCUCAUUUGGACCAACUACAAUUUGCAGUCAUGCACUAGAAUGGACAAGUAAAAUAACCUAUUGAAAUUAAUUUUUUUAAAAAAAAAAACAACUUGUGAUCUCAAGUUGAAGAGUUAUCACCAAAACCCUUUAAAAAAAAAGCAAGAAACUUAAAAGAACAGAUUGCAUCAUCAUGAGAAAGAAAUAUAAAAAUAAGCACAUAUUAUACAACAGUAAAUACUUGGCACCCAGGCGGGGAAAUUAAUAAAAGGGAAAAAAAAUAACAAAACACUUACUCAUGGAUAGUGGGAUAAUGAGGCAGCAAAGAAAAAUGACGAGGAGGUGAUGAAUUCGUGAUCCGAUCAACAGGUGAAGCUACCACAUGAUCCGAUCUAUCCUUGACAGUGAAGGAAGUUUAGAUCAUGCUGGCAGCUUCAACUGCUGCUGGUUCACGAUAUGAUGCUACUAUAGAUAUAUAAAUAUGCUCAGAGCUCAAGCUCAUCCUCAUCCUCAUCCCCAGAGACCAAGCUGAAAAAAAAGAAACAGAGAUUUAUUUGCUGUAUUAUAUAUGCUUGAGAAGAGGAAAGGAAGUGGCCGGAUAUAAAUAGAGGCAAUAAGGUUAGUUAUGUUUGGUGAUUUGGUUAAUACACACAGGAACAGAACUGAAAAAGUAUUUUGUAAUUAAGUAUGAGAAUAUUAAAUAAUUAUGCGAAGCAAACACAUGGCAGUGGUCCAAAGCAACAGACAAAUUGAAUAUUAUCAUGGCCACGCCACUCCAUGCAGACAAAGUGUAUAUAUAUAUAUAUAUAUAUGCUUAUAGUAACUAAUUAACUUAAUUAAAGAAGUUUAAAAAAUUUUUACAUUGAUGAUCCUUCUUCUAUCAACUACAGAGAAUAGGUGGAUCUCAGUUAAUAGCUUGCCCAAUAAAUUUUAAAUCUCUCUCUCCAUCUAUCUGUAAAAGUGUAAACAUGAUCUAUGAACCCAAAAAAAAAAGAAUGCUGAUGAACAAACGUAAUUUAAGGGGAACAUUUUCAUUAUUUCUUAGCUGUAGCAACAGGGAAAUUUUAGUAUUUCAUGCAUUACCUAACUACUAUGUCAAGUUACAUGCAUGAUUUGUAUAUGUGUAAAUAUUCUUUAUUCGUUUUAUUAUUAAGUAUUUGGUAAAGAUAUAUAUUUCAUUUAUUUACUCUAUCCAUAGGCUUGGCAUCUAAUUGGUGUCAGCUACUUGUUAAAAGUUUAUCCCUUUAAUUACUAGGACUUAAAUGGAUUAAGUAACAUUUGGGAGUCCCAAGGAGUAAAGUAAAAUAUCUAAUAUUAAUUGGUACUCCGAUAAAGCCUUUAACUUGCUCUGAUAUUGACAUUAUGUUUCUUUCAAUUUGGUCUGUUCCCUUUGGUAGGUUUGGGGCAUGGAACCAAUAGAUGCAUGCAGAGUCAUCCCGUUUCAAAGGUAUCAAAAAGUGGAAAGCAUAAAUAUUCUAAAGAAAAAGUUCCUACCUCUUUGGCUUUGGAUUUGGGGUUUUGAUUUAAAAAAUGAUUAACUACUUCAUAAUGCAAUUAAGUAAUAGAAUAUCCUUAAACUAAUAUAUAGAUAAAUUGCGUUUGCAUCUCAUAAUAGUUAUUUGCUGAUGGCUUCGAAAUGCAAAUGGAGCUGAUUAGUUCAUUUGUUAGAUAGCCAUUGACUCCCAAAACUUUUAAGAGGUCAUUGGAUGCACAGCACCUUUCAUGGGCUCCAUUUGAUUAUACGUUUCCUUUUGCUUUGCUGAAUUGCUUGUUAUCCACCAUACUACGUAAUCCUCUAAUAAUGAACUAAUUAAAAACUUAUAUUAUGUUACUCUUUUGGCUCUAGUUAUCUUAGAUAUAAUGUAAGAAACAGUCAUAUGAUGAAAAUCUAAUGAUUGUAAAAAUAAUAUAAAUUUAUUAUCUUAUAUUCCCACGCUUUUAUAUUUUCAUCAAACGACUGUAAAAAAAUCAUGUUUCUUGCAUUAUAUAACAAACUCCUACUCUUUUAACGUAGUCAUAACUAAAUCAAUUUUAUGACAGGACAUUGAUGAUGACCGAUAGAUUAUUACAGCAAAUACAAAUUUAAUAUUUAAGCUAUGGUUAGGAGUUACUUUAAAAUAAAACACAAACCAAAACCAUACAUAUAAAAUAAUAAAUGAUAAAAAUUUCAUUAUAACUUUAAUUAUAUAAUUAUAAAAGAGUGUUCUUACUUUAAAACUGUUCCAACAUACCCUAAUAUUUAUCUAUAUAAUCGACACCGCCAUCGUCAUCAUCAGUGCCCUACACUCUACAACUGAUUUUAACUUAGCUGAAUCCUUUUUUCAAAGAUUCUUUUACGAAUUCCAACGAAGGAAAAGGAAAGUGAUUGGAUGAUAUGAUUCCCAAGGUUAGAUAAUCAAGAGUAAUUGCAUCGUAAUUUCUUGAUGGUUACAUAAACUUUUAACUGAAACAUAGGCCGGUUUCAUAUGACAUAGGCACAUUUUUAAAGAAGGUAAAAGCUAGUUGGAUCUUGCAAUUUGAAAGGUUGGGUGGGUAUUGAAUAAUUGUCGAAAUGUUAGCACUUUGCCAAAACAAAAAGUGAUUAUGUUAUGUUGAAGUUUAGAUAAAAAUUUUCAGUUUAAUUUUAAUGGAAGAAUAAAUAAUCUGUUCUCCAUUACAUACUAUUCCUAGACGUCCAUAUAUCAAUAAAAUCAUUUAUACAUGGCACGUCGGACAGCGUGUGUGAAGGAAUUAGCUGUAUAUAGGCUUUUGCAACAAAUAAUGCUUUUACUUUUGGUCCUCCAAAAUGUGCAGAUAUAACCGAGAGAAAGAGUUAAUUAAACUAGGGUCUAGUUCCAAUAGUAAAAAACCGGAAUUCUUACGAUGAAUUUAUACUAAUAUCACAUCCGUUACCAUACACACAAAUGUAUGUCAAAAUUAAAUGAAUUCCUUCCAGCUAGGGAUUUAUUUAUAGUUGUUGUGGUAGGGCCUUGAACAGGAAAAAAGGACAAGAUGAGAGAGACAAAAGCCAACGCAAAAACUAUUUUCUGUUAGUACAACACAGUGCCAGAGAAGCAAAGCUGGAGAAGCCUUUUUGUUAUUUGGCUAAUCAAAAGUAGGAUCAUUUUCCCCACCAAGUUAAAAGAGAGAUCAAAUUUUCUUCAUUUGCCGACGCAGGUCAUAUGCUUAGAUACAAAUGUUAAUGGGCAAAUAAAUGUUUACACAACAGUCAGAACACGUGUACUCCAUUUAUGCUUAAUUUGUUGCAUUGCAUUGCAUUUGCAUAUCAUAAAUACUGAUACACUUUUACUGCAUGCUUCACGCGCGCGCGCGCUCAUCUUUUUUGUCUUUAACUAACUAAUAAAGUGGAGAAGGCUAAAGCAAACUAGCUGAUGACGGUGUUACCCAGAUAUUAAUAGGUAAUCUUUGAAAAGAAAAGAAAGAACAAAAUAUACAUAAACUGGGUAACAGAAGAAGGAACAAAAGGAGAAAAGAAAAAGUAACAAGCAGGAACGCAUGCGUGAUACUUAUUUUAAGAUAAAGAAAAAAAAAAAAAAAACAACCACAACAAAGUAAAGAAUAUACUUACAGAGAUGUGAUCACCUUUAUUUCGCUUUUGAAUGGAAGGGGGAUGAUAACUUGAAUUAAAUGGGUCCGCAAGUAGGAAGGAGUGAGGCUGUCAGAGCAUGACCUAGCUAGGGUUAGUAUCGUACUUGCUUCUUUAUUUAUUACUUUCACUAACCAAAUGCGCUAGAUAGAUCAUGCUGGCAGCUUCACUUUUUCCCCUUGUAGACUGCUUGUGUGCAAAAGAACUAGUCAACUCAUCAUCAACUCACUCACUGUGACUGUGUUUGCUUAAAUAAUUACAGUGACCAUGUAUGUAUUACAAGCUAAGAAAACAGCAAGAUUAUUGAUCAGUACAGCACUCAUGAUGAGGAAGAUGAAUCUAGACUCACAGCAAAAGAACGAAAGAAGUAUCUUUUGAUGCCAAUAACUUUUCACCAAAAAAUAAAUAAAUGAAAUAAGAAAUUAAUGAGGAUACAUGGAAAUCCAUCAUAGAAUCGGGAACGUGUAUGCUACAGGAAACGAUAAGAAACUUUUUUUUUUUUUGAAAAGGAUAAGAAACUAGUUAGAUCAAUCAUUGAAACAUGAAAUUAUUCAAAAACUAAUUGCAAAAAAAAAAAAUGGAAGCACUACACAUAUCUCAAGCAAAAUGAAUUUGUAUGUAAUGAUCAUAUAUUGGAGUUUAGCUAGGUUAUGAUUUCUCGGUUUUUAGGUUCAUGAUGCACAGAAGGAUGUGAAAACCGAAAAGAAAAAGGAAAAAGAAAAGGAUAAAAGAUGGUGAGGAAAGAGAGUAAAGAAGCCACCGAUCUAAAAAUAUAAAGAGAAAGAUUGGGCAAUUUGUAUUAGGGUUUUCAGAAUCAAAGUUGUGUGAGAUAAAGCAAACAUGUAAGAAUCUAAUGCUUAAGCUGAAAGAAAGCAAAACUUACAUGAAAAAGAGGAAAAAUAAAGAAUUACACUUUGAAAAACAAACACAAAAAAAAAUUAAAAAAUUUUAUUUAUGAAAUCAGGAAGGAACCCUAAAAAAAAAAUUUAGAUGACGGAGGGUUACAACUUGCAACAACCAGCGCAUCGGAUUAUAUUUAUAAGGGGAUUUUGAUGAGAUGAUGAAGAAGGAUCAUAAAGACUCACGUAACCUACUUCGCUAGACAGUCAUGUUCACAUGGACAGGACAACUAAGCGAGAGAGAGAGAGAGAGAGAGAGGCUAUGGACACAGACGUAUCAUAACAUAGCAAGGCAGAAGUGUUAGGGGUCACACAGCACAGGUGGUACAGAUAUAGGCCGCGGCAUCAAAGGGUGGGCGGUGGGGAAGCGGGCUCUGAGUCUGAAGUCUGAAGUAUCUGCAAGCUGCACCCCGCCCACCUCCACUGUAGUAUGUGUAGACUAUGCUGUAUCGGAUCACAGCUAGGGUGAGUAAGGCCGUAGGGGUAGGGGACGUUCUCAUAUGAUAUCACUGUUCCUCACUGCUCACUGCAAUUAUUUGGCUCCAAAUGAAUAAGCAUUUAGAAGUUCAAUGCAUUUUUGGACUGUUAUUUGUGCUUGUUAUGCCAUAUAUCAUGAAGUCGUGUCAUAUAAUAUAAAGUUAGUCAGUAAUUUUGCAUCUCUCUCUCCUUUUGUUGUUCAAAUUCAGUAGUAGUUAUCAAUUCAUGUUACUGGUGAUUUUAAAUGCGACUUCCCAUCCAUCGAGAAGGACUAAAACCAAGCGAACUAAUUAAUUAAAGUAAAACAGUCAAAAUCAUGGUGAUGGGUGGUUACAUUUGAGUAAAAGCAACAAUAGGUCAUCCCUAAAAAAAAAAGAAAAUUCAAAAAAGAAAAGAAAAGAAAAGGAAAGGAAAGUCAUCAGCUAAUAAGGUAACAGCUUACUGCUUGACACACGCAGAUUAAUGGUGCGAUCGAGAUGGCCGGCCCGGGCUCUGCUCUGUAUAUAGUAAUUGCCUAUAACUUACAGCUGUGACGCUUAAAUUGUAGAAAUAUUUAUGCAUCUAAAAGAGGACAAAACAUGACCGAUCAAAACUUAAAAAGUUGAUAUUGAGAUGAUCAGACAAGAGUACUAAAGAAGAUAGAGAGCUUAUAGCUAGCUAGGUUACGUGUUAUCAAUGCAACGGUUUCUCUAGUUGUAAUUUCCUUUUUUCCUUUUGACCUAGCUGGGCAAUGGCACCAGCCAACCACGGAAUGAUUCGUUUUGAAGACUUGUUUUCUUGAUUUCUUCUACUGGCAAAUGGCAAUACAAGUGCACACUGCUGAAAUGUUAGAAUUUUUUAGGGUUUCGCUUUUCCUCUUGGGAAUCGAUGUAAUGUAUAAACUCUUUCCACAUUUUGGCAUAACAAAUUUUUAUAUGUAGAAUUAUAGAUCACGGAAGUCACAAACUUGAAUAUUUUGAAGAGUGUUUUUUCUUUUUUUAAAUAUUCAAUUUAGUUAAAGAAAACUUUUGUAUUAAUAUUGUAUUGUACUUUUGAAUCUCCUUGAUGAUCUCUUUCUUAACUGAAGAGAGAGCGGGGUAGAAAAAGAAAACAGAAAGAGAGAACAGGUAAUAUAUACGAGUGUAUGUAUCCUUAAUUAGUAGAUAGUAGAUAGUAACGGGGUGAUAGAGGCAUAAAGUUGAGGGUCGCUGGGCAGGCAGUAGGCAGGGCAUUGCCUGUAACGGCUCAUGAGUAUCCUCCAGAUGAGAUAGUGGGGAUGGACUAUUCGAUGGAGCUUUAUUGAUUAAUUAUUAGAAUAAAACUGUAUCCCCUUUGUUUUAUUGUUCGACUAUCUCUUGUCGUCUCUACGCCCUUUUCACAGUCGGCUUUUUUCUUUUUCCUUGCAUGCAUAUAAUCAAUGUUUGUUGUAUCAGUAUCAGAAGAAUUCAGAACUUAUUAAGGAGUAGGCCUAUGAGUGUCGUAAUAACUAGUAGACUCUAGCUAGCUGGUGGUCCAAUGCCAACGGUUUCUUCGUUUUCUCUUGAUAUGCUAAACAUUUCAUUACGUUUAUUACUUUUGAGAAAGGCAUGAGGUUAUAGCUAGCUAGUUUGGGUUACUCAUCUGAAAUGAAAUAAUUAAAUGAAGACAAGCGAUUUCAGGAUCUUGGUUUCACGUGUCUGGGGAUUGUCAACUUUGACUUGGCAUUGGCGUCUGACAGAGGACCCAAUCACCCAAAACCAAACCCCUAUUAAGUUAAUUUGAUGGAAAAUGCUACUUACCCGAGUUAGAUCCCAUGUCAAAUCUCGAAACGGCAGCAUAGGCUAUCGUUUCGUCCAUUAUUUUUUUUUUUUGUUUUGAUUAUUUUUUAAACGACACUGUUUUUGCUUCUAUUCUUUUUACUAUGUUAUGAUUUCUUCUUUCUCUUCGUUUAACUUAACCCAGCUUCAUUUAAAAAAAAAAAAAAAACUUAACCCAGCUUUUUUCUCUUUGUUUAACUUAAUUCAGCUGCACACCCCUUGCUUCUUCCUCUUCGUUCUCUUCAUCACACCGUUUCUACUUUUAUUUUUUCUUUGUUCUGAUUUGCUGGGAACGAAGAGAAGAGAAACAAUAAUAUACCUUAACUGAAAAUUGGUGCCCCUGGUUUCUUCAGUUUGAAGCACAAUGUAGAUUGAUGUGUAUAAAUUAUUAAACUUAUGCAUGCUUAUGGGUUGUGUUUAUAUGAAUCAUAUCUCGCAUCAUGAUUAUUUCAUUGCCAUUAAUUUCUUCCUUUGAACUUAGAGAUUGUCCUCGAAAAUUUGUGCUCAUAUGUUUUUAGGUCUUGAUCUAUUUCAACAACAAAGAGACUCUACAGCUAUAUAUGUUGAUGUGCAGGAAAGUAUAAAGUUGCGUGUUUGACCUGAGAAUUUAAAAAUUUCCUUACUAGUGCAAAAUAUGUCCUUUAACUUGAAUAAAAUACCACCAUCCUGACCAAAUGAGACUAGAUUAAUGAAUAAUAGACUAGGGAUUGCGAAUGGCUGCCAAAUCUUAAUUAAGUUAUCAAGGGUUGUGACUUUGGGUAGAUUGGAAUCUGAUGCUGAGGAGAAAUUUUGGAGCUCCCAUAAGAAAAGUGUUGGGGAAGAGGACAUUGAGUCAGUCUCAGACAGCAACAAGCCUGCUUUAUGUGAGAGAGAGACGGGAGCAUCAGAAAAUGGGUUUGGAGUUGGAUACAACAAUGGGGACUGGCUAAGCUUAAGACGAGGAGUGAGGAGACUAUGCAUGCAUCCUGUCUUUCAGUUCGAUGAAGGAAAAUGGAACGAGGCAAACGAAAGGGCAGCUGGGUUCUGAAGGAUUUGCAGUUGGAUUUACAAAUGAACGUGACUGUCGGUCGACGAAGAGAACAAAGAGGAAGAAGCAAUGGGUCUGUAGUUGGGUUAAAUGAAUAGAAGCAAGAAAUCAGAACAAAGAAAAAAAAUUGAAGCAGAACGGUGUCGUUUCAAAACGAAUCAAAACAAAAAAAAUAAGAGUCGAAAACGACGACCUAUACUGCCGUUUCGAGGUUUGACCCGGGACAAAUAGCAAAACUCUAAUUUGAUUUUAAUAUCCCAUUUCCCAAGCCAUCAUCCUCUUUCUCUCCCAAGACAUGUACUGUUCUUUAUGAAUUAUAUAGAUGAUGCUAUUUCUUGGGUUAACUGAUGCAUACAUAUCAUAUUAUAUAUGCUUGCUAGUAUGCUUUCGUUACAUAAUUUGCAUCCAAAUUACUCAAAGCAGCUAUUUGUAACACAUCAACAAUCUCUAUAUCGGCUUCAAUGGAACUUCAUUUUCCAUACCAUUGCAUUUGCAUAUAGCAUUUAAAAAAUUGACGGACCACCUAAAACCUAGUGCCAGCAGGUCCGGGCAUUCACUUUUCUUAUAACUGAGAAGAAAUGGGAUUGAGGAAAUAAAUAUUUACAAUCUUCUUCAAUUUUUUAUUUUCAGUGUAGAUGCAUCAUGUAACAUACAGCAAUUAACAUUGAUAAAUAAAAUCAAUUAUACAUCUGUUACAACAAAAUGAGUACCAGUGAAGUUUCAUCAACAUCUGUGGCGGCCCUUUACCCAACCAAUUUCCAACUAAUUAAUAGCUGCUGGAAUGGAAAACAGAUUCUUCGAUAGCUUUCCUGCAACCUCAUGCUGGGACUAGAGUAAUAAUAGUAUUGAAUUAGAUUCCCACGUAGAAAUUAAAGCACCAGAAACCCACAAUAAAGGUUUUUUUUCGGGGGACUGAUUAGAUCCAACUAAGCUUUUGCUAAUCAUAAGCCACAUCCUCGUGGAAUCAAUUCUUUUUUUCUCGGAUGCCGUUUGUAUAAUUUGCCAGCUCCAACUUUCAAAAUUGGGUUCAUAAAGUAAUUAAGAUGAGAGGAUUGAAUUGAAUGGUAGCUUCAGUGGGGAAAUCUAUUGUGUUAUGGCUUUUCAGUGCGAUUCAUAUGAACACAAGAAAUCUUUUAUGAUUCAAUCAUUCAACUUAAUUGUAUUAGUUACCAAUAAUCUCCACAGGAACAGACCCCAGCCUCAAAAUGAUGAAAUCUAUUAGCAUCCCUCACGACUAGUUCCCGUCCAAAGAGCCUCGAAACUAGCUUGCAGAAAGAAUGGCAGUCAACACAAACACGAAGGUUUUUUGUAAUGCGAAUAAGAGAUCCCUCUGUAGACUUGAGCACUCCAUACGCAAUGGCUAGCCUUUCACUAUGGCCAUAUAGCAUCUGAACCUUCUCUUCUUCCUCCACAUUGUGCAAAACAAAUUGGGUUUGAGCCACAUAGCCUCCUUCCCUCUCCAAUUUCUCAGUAAUUUCGGCCAAUUUUUUGUAUAUCUCAUCGGACUCAGAAUGAGACUUGUCUCUUGCAAUGAAAGAAUGAAUCUUAUUUCCAAUCUCAAUCCAGCUACUUCCGGGUGUUUUCUUCAAUCCACUUCCCCUCAUUCUCAUUCUCACUUGUUCAACAUCUUUCCACUUUCUACUGGCCGCAAAGACAUUGGAUAUAAGUACAUAAUUUCCUGGAUUGCCUGGAUCCAAUUCUAAUAGUUUCUUCGCUACAAUUUCUCCUAGUUCUUUAUUAGAAUGAACCCGACAUGCCCCAAGAAGAGCACACCAAACUUCAGCAGUGGGUUCAAUCUGCAUACUUCUCACAAAUUGGUAUGCUUCUUCCAGGUGAUUUGCACGGCCAAGAAGAUCAACAAGGCAGGCAUAAUGUUCUGGCCAUGGAUCUAAUUGAUAGUCACAUCUCAUAAUUUCAAGAAACUUUUUACCUUCAUUGAUCAAUCCAGAAUGGCUGCAUGCAUAAAGAAGAGCCAAAAAGGUUAUAUGAUCAGGAGCAAAACUUUCAGCCUCCAUCUUGUAGAACAAAUCAAUGGCAACUUUGCCGCGGCCAUGCAGUCCAUUUGCAUUGAUCAUACUUGUCCACAGGAUUAGAUCUUUAGUUUGGACACAAUUGAAUACCUUAUUUGCAAUGUCUAGAGCUCCACACCGAGCAUACAUAUCCACUAGAGAGCUUGCAACAGAUCCCUCUAAAUUGAAGCCCUUCCGGAUGAUAAAACCAUUUAGUUCUUUUCCUUUCUUCAAAAUAGAUAAACUAGAAGCAGCAGAGAGUGCACUCACUAGUGUUAUAGAAUCUGAUUCGACAUUAGCUUCAUUCAUUAAGUAGAAAAGUUCCAGAGCUUCAUUGGCAAGCCCAUUGUGGACAUAAGAUGAUAUCAUGCUGGUCCAAGACACAACAUCUUUAGAUUCAAUGGACUCGAACACAUUUCUUGAAUAAUCAAUGUUUCCGCACUUCCCAUAUACAUCAACAAUCGCGUUCAGUAUCACAAGAUCGGAUAAACCUUUUCUUAUGAUGUAGCCAUGUAUUUCUUUCGUCUGAGACAUGCAUUUCAAUCCACUGCAAGCCAUUAAGACACUUCCUAUAAUCAUUACAUCUGCAUCCAACCCUUCUAAUUGAACUGUCCUGAACAAUUCUAAUGCCUUUAGAUGACAAUUGUUCUGAGCAUAACCGGCUAUAAUAGUUGUCCAAGAAAUGAAAUCCUGUGCAGUCAUCUGAUAAAAAACACGGCCCAUGUAGUUCACACAGCAACAUUUUGCAUACAUAUCCAUAAGUGUAUUUCCAAUCUGCAAAUCAGAAACAAAUCCUUGUUUUAUUGCAUAAGCAUGCAAUUCCUUUCCAUUCAAUAAAUUACCCAAUCGGCCAGAUGCUGAAACAGCGUUUACUGUACAAACUUGGUCAGGUUUUUGACCAGCACCUUGUAACUCACGGAAGAACUGCAUAGCUUUACAAUACAGAUCAUUUUGGACAAAACCAGUAAGCAUGGAGUUCCAAGACACACUAUCCUUGUUCUCCAAUUGAUACAGCACCCCUGCAGCCUCAGUCAUUUUACCACAUCUAGCGUACAUAGCAAUUAAAGCAUUUGCAACAUAAACCUGAAGGUUCUGGCCUGAUUUGACAGUGGCAGCAUGAAUCUCCAUACCCAGUGUUUCAAAUGAAGAAUCCUCACAGGCUUGAAGUGCUGCAACAAAUGUAUAAGCAUUUGUAACAAGACCAACCCUUUGCAUUUCUCUAAAAAGCCCUAAUGCCUCUAAGCACUGCCCACUUGCAGAAUAUGCUGAAAUUAUAGAAUUCCAUAAGACGACAUCCUCUUUUUCACCCAUUCUGUCGAAUAAUUGCCUUGCUUUACGAAAAUCGUAGCACUUUGCAUACAUAGCAACCAGUGAGUUGACGAUAAAAUCAGUAGAAUCAUAGCCACAUUUAAGGACCAAACCGUGAAUUUUAGCUCCACAAUCAAGAUCUUUAAGCAUAGCACAAGCUUUAAUAACACACGGAAAAGUAAAAGCAUCAACAGAAAUGCCCAAAACCCGCAUUCGACUAUAAGUUUCAAGAACUCUUAAAGGUUCCCCAUUCGAGACAUAAGCGCCCAACAUAGCAUUCCAAGUAAAUACUGUUCUUUGAGAAACUUUAUCAAACAGUUGCUCAGCAUCCAACACAGAACCGCACUUGCCGUACAUGAACAAAAGCUUAGUUUCCAAAAAUGAUGAUUCAUACAAAUCGAAAGAUUUAAUCAAAUGGGCAUGAACUUGUUUGCCUUGUGAGAGAGCUUUCUUGGUUGCACAGAGAUCAAGCACAAGUGCAUAAGCUUCAUCCGGGCGUAUAGUAAAUACAUUAUGGUUAGUGAAGAGGUUACUUAAGGAUCUAAAUGCAUCUUUGAGAUUGCCUUGCUUGCAGAACUCUCGUAGACAAGGCGUGUUAAUGGGCUUUUGAGGAAAUUUGGGGGCUUUAAGAGAUGGGGUUACAUGUGCUUUGCCUACGACAGGGUAAUGUGUUAAAGCUGAGCCUGAAGAGGGACUGAAGCAACAACGUGAAAUAGAGGUCGCCAUUACGGAAGAAUACGUGCAUGGGAAGCGAAGGCGGUGACGAGUACAAGAGCUUAUGCAAAUGGAAUGGACUGGUACUAUCAGUAUCAGGUUUCCCGUGGCAGACAUAUCAUGACAAAAUCAUUCAUCAGUUCUCAUUUCUCCAAUACCAUACACGUUCAUGCGUUCAGUUAAAAUUCUUUGUUUGCAAGAUCUAAUUGAUAUUUGAAAAGAAUUAAUCAUUGAGUAAUUACGGUUGGUAGUCUAAAUAGAAUGCAGGAAAAAUUACUACACACUUCAACUUAAAUAUAAGUUGGAAACACUGCCACUCUAACUCAAAUAAACUAUGAUAUCUACUUCAUUCAAAGAAAAAGACAUUACACUUUAAUCUCUAACACUAACAAUAUAAGUUAUUUUAUAUUGUUAAAAAAUUCAAAUGUGUUAUGACGAUAUUGUCUGAUUUAUGUAAUUUUGACUUAGAAACAGAAAACUAUACUUGAAAGUUUGAUGAAACUUAUGUUGAUGCCGAAAAACGACCUCAACAGCUGAAUUUGUUUCUUUAGGAGAAUUACAGUACGAAUCCAAGCUCAAACGCCAAUAUGACCACAAUUUUCUGUACCUGUCAACCAGAAAACACGGUUAGGAUACGCCGGUGAGGUUCCGGCGCAGACCCUCCGAUGCUUAAGUCAUAAAUUUUGUAUAAAGAGAUGAAAAUGAGAGGGAAUAAUUGUGAAUGGGUUCAAAAGAAAGGAAUUUUCCGAUCUAAGAACUCAAAAUCUGGUAAGCUCUGUUAAGGCUCUUAGAUAGGUCACUUCUAGAGUUUUUGGUUGAUUUUUUCUAACCCUUUCACCUGAUGCGCUCUUCAGUUUAAAUAGACUUUUCGUCGUGUACGGUUACCUCCUUAACUUCAGCCCGCUUUCUUCAGCAGUUGCAAGUGGUUUUCAGUUGGAGGUGGUUUAAAUAGAUCGUGGCACACAACUUCCUUAUAAAUUAGGCCACGUUCUCUUAACUAGCAAUUUUCUAUGUCAAACUAAUUCUCAGGUCGGACAAGAGAAUUUCAAGGUCGGAUUACUUCAUUUUCAGAUCAGACAGAUGAAUUUCUCAGUCGCUCAUAUAGCGUUGAGGUUGUAUUCUUAAACUAGAUCAUUCACAUAGAUCUUAGGUCGUACUUGUAAACCAGGUCGUCAACAUAGGCUUCAGGUUGUACUUAUGAGGCCAGCUCAACAACAAUAAGUUCUGAGUAUAUUAAGAUCGACUAUAUUUUGAGAUACUACUAGAAAAAUCCAACCCAAACACCAGUCCCCUAAUUUUCAAUACCAGAAAGUCAUUGCUGGUGUUGGAAACUAAUAGAAAAAUUUUCUCAAAACCCAACAACUUAUAUCAUAUAUAAUCAACGAGUGAAUGCAUUGCCAUCGAUAAAUAAAAUUAAUAUAUAAUUCCUGAUGCAAUAAAUAAAGAAUAAAAUGAUAUGAUCUUAUUAUGGAAUAAAACUUUAAAAGAAAAUUCAAUAUAUAAAUAGCUUAUGUUUAUACCAAAAUUUUAAAUAAAAAUACAAAAAUUAACUUAUUAAAACAAUAUCACAGUACUUCACUUUAUAUACUUUUCAAAAUAUUGCAGAAAUUUCCAAAAUUUUGUUAGCCUUUACAUGUUUCUAUUUCAGUCCCACAAGAAAAUAGCUCAAACACAUACCAUCUCAUCUAAAAUUUUAAUAAAGCAAAAAUUAUUGCCCACUUACUUUUAAUUGGGUUUAAAAGAAGAAACUCAGGAAGCAGUUUUUGGAAGAAUAUCUGGCAAAGACAGCCGCGCUUGCACAAACAAAGGCAAUUUCACAAAAAUGGGCAUUGUCUGCCCAACUACACUAUGCAAAAAGAAUUUUAGCCAAGCUUGUUCGUACAUGACAGAUCAUUUCUCCUAAUGCUGACUCAUGUCAUAUAUUUCCGCUAUACAACUUAAUCACACACUGUUAGUAACUUGUCUAUUUACAUCUAAAGAGCAAGGUUGGGGGAAAAAAAAAAGACUGAUUUCUUCAUGCAAAAUUAGAAACAUCUCCCAUCAAUCACCCAGAAUACAACAAAAUAUGACCCCCAACAAUUCUCAACCAGAAGUUCCGAGCCAGGGGUCAUGCACACUGAGGUAUGUCUCAUGCUUGUCAGAAUUUCAUCAUUUAUCAGAAUCGUUGCUGAGUUACAAUUUCUCAACCUUGUCCUAUUAAUCCCAGGCCAGCCCAGUUGUCCUGGAUUUCCUUUCCCAUGUUCCAAGUACAAUACAUUCACAUUUGAUCCUUCCCCCGAUGCACCAGGACUCAACCAAUAUUAGGUUUUGGUAGUCAAUAGCUGUCCCAAGAGCUGAAAUUAUUCCAGAAUACCUUUUCGUUGCCAUUACCCCUGAUUGAUCGAAGCUCUCAAACUCUCAUCUGGCAGUGUCCAAGACACCAAAUGCCCGCCAGAAUCCCCACUCAGUAACUGCUUAAGGUCACUUGUGAGGUGAAGGGCAGUAACUGGAUGCUUGUGAAACUUCAGUACCUUGUGAAGGACCAGCCUGUACUCAGGUGCGUUAUCACCCAAAUUUAAGCCCCCUGUAAUGUUGCUGCUGCUUGAUUUGCUUUGGGUGAUGACAGUCUCUUGCUCAGUGCAGUGAACCAUUUUCCAAACUUUGACUGCCCCACUCUGAUGACCUGUCACAUACCAGUUCAUUUCUAGCCAGUCAGAAAAUGUACAGCUGGUCACCGAGAGAAUAGAAUCAGAUGGCAGUUGAGAUGUGCUAAUAACAGCAAGGCAAUCUCCAUUGAUGCUCCAAAUUGCAAGCAAAAUUCCAGCAGCUGUUGCAAUUUCCCCAGUCAAAUUAUUCACAUAAAUUGCUGAAACUGGCGCAGGGAACUCAGGAAGCUGCCUAACAAAACCCAAGGAGCUAAGAUCCCAGAUAAUUACAGUGCGGUCAUCUGAUCCACUUGCAAUAAGCAUGUAAGGCUGACUAACAUGAAGACACGUGACUGUGGCAGUGUGAGCACAAAGUGCCUUCUCCAAUUGCAAUCGUCUUGACAAACGAGGUCCAACCUUGCUGAUUCUCCAAACACAAACUAACCCAUCAUCAGCACCAGUCACCACAAUCUGACCAUCAUGACUAACACCAGCACAAUGAAUCUGGUGUCCCCCAUGAAGAUUCUCAUGAGUAGAGAGUAGCCUAUCUUGAUCAUAGCUGAUAAAUCUCAAGCUACGAUCUGGAAAACCCCAUGCAACAUAUUUGGCAUAUGUUCUAGGUUUAAGCAAUGUAUUUGCCCCUGCCACAAGAACUUUCUCAUGGAAUGUAACAAUCUGGGUUAUGGAAGAUGAACUCUUACGUAUUUCAUGGGGAACAAGAUGGACGGAAUGCUUGAGAGGAUGAAGAGGAAGCUUUCUGUCAAUCCGCCUUUUCACAUGCGGUUUAAGGAAAAGUUGCUUGGGUGUUUGCCCAAAAUGAUUUAUCUGUGCUAGGAUGGAGGCUUUCAUUGCGGGAUCUGUAACUGAAUCUAUGUCCACGCUGCCCUCAUAUGUGUAGUGAUAGAAAACAUUUACAGCUUCUUCAGCUGCCUGUCAAUUUAACAACAGAAUAAUCUAAUUAUAAACAGAAUAAAAGGAGAACUUAAGUUCAAAGUGUAGCAAUAAUUAUAGAAGCAUUGCAUAUGGUCUGAGCAGAGAAUUCAAUCUCACAUGCUAUUGAAGAACACAACUUUCUAAGCAAAGCAUAUAAUCAGCAUGCAUGAAAUUGUUUUCCAAUUCUUGGCGACAAUUUCUCAUAGUUGCAUAUCGAACACAGGGAAUAAUAGCAAUCAUUAAACAGUUUGGGGUUGCUAGAUGCAGUUAAAGAGUUGGACGCAUAAUUUUCUUUUUCUAUUAUUUCUCAACAAUCCAAUGAAAUAUCUGGUAGAAACUGAGAGGUCUUCCACAAGGAAAGAUAAUACUGGCUUUAAAAGAAUAUAUUGCAGACCUCUCAUGAACUCCAAUACUUUCAAAAAAGCAAUAUUAGUAAUUGAUUUUUAAAACAAAAGAAUUGAAGGAUAGGUCAGAAUAUACUUAUUAACAAUUGGACUUUUCACUAAAUAGAGAUGAUGACCAUAAAGAAUCUGUAACCCACCUUCCCUCUCUGUUUAUAUCCAAAGAUAAGGUCUAUCCAAUGAUGCAGAUUUUCUGAAACAUAAUUGCAUUCCAGUGCUUCCCUAUGCUUCCUAAUGAACUCUCUAGCACUGCCUUUGGCCCAAGGAGGUAAGAUGACAUCACCAACCUAAAAAAAUCCGACAAAACAUAAUUACAUUAUUGUACAUUCUGUAUGAUACAUAUACAACAACUUCUGUGGUAAAUCAUCAAAGGAACUGAAAUUAGUCAAAAAGUGAAAAAUUGUAAUCUCAACAAACCUUCUCCCCUGAUUGUUUCUCUCCCAAGUCAAAGUUGAAUCUAUUUUCCAAAAACUCAGGCAUGUAGAAGAAUUCUGGAAUCAGUUCCUUCACAUCAGAUGUGUUGCCUUUUCCAGAUGCACUUAACCAAGUAUCUCCAACACUAUUAAAAAGGCGAUCAGCAUGAUCAAACUGACCACCCUGAAGCUUCUGAUUCUCAGCACUGAAUGGUGGCAAACGAAGAAGAUAAAAGAGGACAAUUCCAGCACUAGAAUAAUGAGAACCAUAAUGGAAUUUUGGGACCUCUGGAUCUUCCCAACUCUCAUAUCUAAAAUAAAAUAUUAAAAAAUCAUAUUUAAAAAAAAAGAGAGGGGUGGCAAUGUUGCAUAAAUACAAAAUUACAUAAAUACAAAAUUAAAUCAAAAUGUGCUACACUAGAUACCAUAAUAAUACCAUAAUAAGGAAUUUGUCAAUAAUCGUUAAAACCAUAUCGUCUGUAUAAUACACAAGAAGUAACCAUGAUGGCUGACCUUUUCUUAAACUCAUCUUCUCCCUCAGGUGUCUGACAACCCAUUGGUUUGUCAAGUUUACGAAAUGUUUUGGAAUUUGACAGGUCAAGAAUUUCACUUUCAUAAUCUGCAAGAACCCAAGGAAAGACUGGAUACUGGGUGAGGUCACUGUAUCCACGUCCCGCUAAGGUGUUGAGAUGCAUAAGGUACUGGAAAUUGCUAAUUUCUCCAUUUUGCCACCUUUUGGAGAAGGAUUUAGCCAUUAUUUUAAAAAGACGGGUUCCCUCAUUGCUUUCCUGCUUAGUUGAACCUGAAAUGGUAGUGUCCAGCCUGCAAGCAAGAACCAUGAAGUAAAUAAUCUAACAUACCCAAAGAAUAUAAAAGGAAAUGCAACUGAACAAGUUAGCAGUGGAGCAUAAGUUUGCCAAAAAUAACAUAAAAGAAGAUUAUUACUGUAAAAUCAUAUAACAAGCAGCAAUUUUUUUGUUUCAAAAAUAAUAAUAACAGCAAUAAUCUUCAAAAAAACAAUAACAAAAAUAACAUGAUAGCAGCCCCCCACACCAAAAGGAGAAAAAGGAAAGGCAUGACAUAAAGAUGAUGCAUUCAAGAUAAUGCAAUCACGUUAUAAAACUAGAGUUAUGCAAUUAGGCAGAAAAGAAUUGAAUCAAUGCACGUACAUCAUUUUUGCAAAAUGCACAUGACAUUUUCCAAAAUAUACCAGUUUGUGUCCAGAGGCAUACCAAUGGAAAGAUCAAAAAUUGAACAGAGAAAAUGGACUCAAGAUCAUAUCAAUAGUAUCAAAUAAAAGAGCUAUCAUAAAAGAAAAAAAUAAAGGGUAAUCAUAAAUAGGCAACAAGAAGAAGACUUCAUACAUGCUGUUCCUCGGAAGAUUCAUGGCAACCAGAUUUUUGAACACUUCUUCUCUCUCUUUUUUGUGGAAAACUAGCAGAUCAUUACACCCAUCCAUGCUAAAUAUUUCAACAGCAACAGGACGCAGCUGGUAAUCACGCUUCAAAAUCUCAUGAACACUAUCAAGCUUCCACAUAUGCCACGGGUGAGGUAAAUUACCACUAUUGCAAACUUUUUCCUUCCCCCAGGCACCACCACCGUAAGCCCAAGCCCUUCCCCCAACCAAUGACUUUGAUGUACUCCUCCAAGAUGAAGUUGACUUGGACUGGAAAUCCAUACUGCCAGUAACAUCCUUUUUCACACCUAAAGCCUGGUCAAUAACAGAAAGUUCAUCUUCGAAUUCCUUCUCACAAAUACGCCCAGAAUCGUCAAUAUAGAAGUUCUCAAUUACAUAUAAACAAAGCUCCCCUAUCAGAAAUAUACCAUCAUGUUUAUCAAGACCUACAACCCUUUCACAGUUGUACCUGAAUCGUAUUUUUUCAAGAGGUUCCAGGUAUGGUCUUAUUAGAUAUUCACCAUUAUCAAGCAGUUCCUUCUCUGAUUUAUCAUCUGUACCCUGAAUUUCAUCAACUUUUACAGACGAAGAUUGCCUUGGAGAUCCUAUGUCAGAUUUUUCUUGUACACUCUCUGUUAUUGGAAUAGACGCUGAACUUGACUUGCCACCAAAAUCAAGGGCUGAGUGAAGGCUUGCUUCAUUUAUACUGCUACCUCGGUCAUCAUUCCAGCCAUUCCUAACAGAAGAUACAUCUUUGACAUCAUCUAAUUCUUUCAAAAAUGAUUCAUCAUACAGCUCUUCAUCAGCAGACUCCUGCUUGGCACUGUCAGUCAAAUUGUGGAAGAAUGACUCAGAAUCAGAGUCAGAUGCAUUGGGUGCACCUUGACUUCUUGCUUUUGUUGGCUCUGCUUCUACUAAAUCCAAAUUCCCGUCAAGAACAUUUUGGAUGCUAUCAAUUUUCAAUUUGCAUCGUUCAAGCUUUUUGCGCAUCCUGUAUGGACCUUCAAUAGGACAAAGCUGCCACACAAGAUUUUCCAUCUCAGCAGGUCUACGCAUUGGAAAUAUUCCACGCUCAUGUACAAGCUGUUGGAGAUGCGUUUGCCAUGCACUUUCAGCAUGAAGAACCCACCCAUACUUAUCUUGACGGACAACUCUUAGCUCAGUAGACAUUUCAUCACGAACUAAUUCAAGUGCAUAUCUACGCUCAUUUACCUGUUCCAAGUGUCUCAAAUCUAAUUUUGAAAUUUCUUUGGAUCUCCUUCCCAUUUCCCUCCUACGACGCCCCUCCAAGCCUUUUAUCCUUACUCCAGGAAAUUUUGCUGAGCCAGCAAUAUACUGUACCCACAUAAUGGCAGCACACUGUUCCAACACUUUAUUGACCAUCUGUUCAGAGUUCUGAAGCCACUCAAGGAAAGAAGAUAAACUAUCAGUCAACAAUUUGUCAAAACCACCAUGUAGUACAUCCAGGUGUUGUCCUUGAUUUGGUUUUGAGACAAGCAAGUCUUCCACUGCAGCCCUGCGAUGAACCAGCAAGUACUUGACUAAAUCGAUUGCCACAUUCUGCACAUUUCGCCUUUGAUCACGGAGAAGGGAUAUUAAAUUUACACAAAGACAGCAAUUUAGAUCAGUAUCAAGAUUGCUAGGACAGAAUAUAAUUCGUCUGUGAGCAACCAAUAACUGCAGAACUGCAUAAAUAUCAACUCCUGAAUCUUCUUGUGAAGAGCCUGAGGAUACUUUCCUUUUAGGUUCAAUAAGCAAGCCCAAGCUUGAGAGCAGAUCCUCUUCUCCAAUGGCGGCCAAGAAUGAAGGAAGGAAGCAAUACAGUAUCAUUCUAUUUGUAUUUUUUAAAAUAGAAUGUAUGUAGGCAUCAAGUUGCUUGAUUCCUCUCGCAAUAGAUAAGAGACCCUUUCCUCCAGGAGAUGCAUCUUCAAUUCGCCCAUCUUUGUUUGCCAAUUGUAACAUUGAUAAUAAGAACUCUAAUGUUUUUAGUACAGCAGCCGGUUGAGGAAAAGCACCCAUAUACACACGAUCCACUAUCAUCCAACAGAAUGCAUCUAAAUUUGAGGACCAUCGGCUUUUAUCUAGCUUUUUCUCAUCUUCCUCAUCAUCACGUAACAGACGCCUUUCAAGAAAGUUCAUCAGUCUACUAAGGCACAAACCCUGGAAAACCAACACAGAUUCAGCAUCAAUACACGAAGGAACCAUCUCCAGUAUGCUCUCUACAACCUGUGCAGCUUUCAUCUGCUCAGUCAUAAAACCAGAAAGAACUUCCGCCAUAAAAUCUAAAACAGCAGUUGCUCCAGCAGAACAAGGACCACCACCAUAGCCAGAAUCAUCCAUUUCAAGGAGAAUUUUUGGUCUAACUGCAAAAAAUGUAUUUGCAGCAGAUGCUCCUUCAGAACUAGACUUCAAGUCUGAAGAUGAAUCCAAUUCACCAGCAGAUGCAGAAGACUCCAUGGAAGGAGUGGCGACCAAGGGAGUUUUAUACUCAUUUUGAUUUGAAUUUAGCCAAGACGACAAAGCAACAACUGGAGAUGAAACAGCUGAAAGUGGAAUUCUAGGAUUAGAUUUCUCAGAUAAAAUGGGAGAAUCUAGCAAUGUAAAAGAUGAGGAACUCCGGGAAUCAGUUGGUCGAUCCAUAACACCUUUAGUAUUGCGGAAGCUGAUAUCAUUGGUGCUUGAGGACACAGAGACCUGGUCAACAUGGUCACUGUCUAAGAGAUGAACAGCUUGGGUUUCUUCUUGCAGUGAUUUAUUUGAUUCUUCCUGGGGCAUAUCUGCUUUCAUCUCUGCUUUAUCAUCACCAGUAUAAUUUGAGGCUACAGGUGUAUCAUCAGAACUUGUACUUACCUGCCCUGUGGGGAAGCUUCCAACACUAAUAGAGGUUUUCACAGACUGCUCCUGCUCUUGAGGCAAGCUAGAGAAUGUAUUUUGAGAGCUACUAGUAUCAUCACAAUCAUUCAUAUUCUUUUCUUCCGUCUUAGCAGAGAGAGCUUUAGCCAUUUUCACUGCAUAGCCAGCUCUACAAGAUGCAGAAUUCAAAAUCAUGUAAAAAUUAGGCCACAUUGUUUAUAAAAUUCUAGGGGGAAAAAGGAAAAACACGUUUUGAAUAUGAAGCACAAAUAGUAGGUUUCUCAACACAAACCUAAUGCAAGAAAAAUAAAGGUCAACACAGCUUUCAAGAAUUUCUGGCCGCCUGCAGACAGUAGAGAAAGGGGGGCACAUCUUUGCCAGGUCAACCAUGAAUCGUAGGACAGAGGUUGCAGCAGCAGGAGCUGAAGCCUCCCCACCCAUUAAACGCGCUGCAUAUGUCUUGUGCAUCAGAGCUUCACCCUGAAGCUCCCCAGCCAUAUCUGUGUUUUCCUCUACAAGCUCUGCUACAAGGCCAGCACCAACCUGAGAAAGAUUUCCAGUUUGGUGGGCAAGCAUUGACUGAAUGCUCAACCUAUCAAAAGUGGAUUUUGCCAUAGCGAUUACAGAUUCUAACAGCUCUACAAACUUUAACUCCACAUAACUUCCAUCACUUGGCAUCAGAGCAUGAAAGUCCAGCAUGCGAACUUCAGGUAGUCUUGGAUAAACAGGCUUGCCAUAUAACAGACAGAACAAUAUAUAAUAUAUGUCCGGGGAAUCAUAGAAACUAGGAAGUACCCGCACCAAACAUUGAUAACCUCCACUUGUGCGAAACCUAAGGGUAAAUGUGGGGGAAGAAGCAAGAGACACACCAAGCAGUGUCAUGAUCCAUCUCAUGCUUGUAGGAUGAACAGCUUCCUCAAGAAAAUAUGUUAUCAAUUUGGAUGAGACAAUCUUAUGCCACUGCUCCAGCAACUCUUCCGAUUUUAUGGUUACUUGAAGAUCAAUAAGCAUCUCCAACAGCAUAUUUCUAACGAUAACAUGUUUCCCCAUGGACUCUCGCAUUAUCUGACGUUGUGGCUUCAGUUCAGGUGGAUCAAAUGUCAUUAUCACAAAUCUAACCACAUGUUCAAGUUCAGAGACCAGAAAACCAUCUUCUAAGAUGACCCCUAGCAGUACAACCAAUUUCUCUAAAACAGGGACCUCGACAUCACCCCGCUGCAGAGUCACUAGUAGGUGUUGAACAAGGUUAAUUCGGCGAAGAACUGUAAGGUUAUGAUUCCUGUACCAGUGCAUGGACACUAGGUGCUCAAGAAAUCCCAGCAGUGCAAUUUGAAUGGAAACUGGGGCAGUAACCCACAAUGUCCAGUCCAACAAGACAUGCUCAACCAUAUCUGCAUUUGACAGAACGAUGCAAUUAGAUGUUUCAACUGGCAUAUCAGCAUUUUCAAGCUCAGAAAUAUGACUAAAUGAAUCCUUUGGAGCAGAAAAGUCGUCCAUAUCUCCAUGAGAUCCAACAGAAGAAAUUUCAUCACGAAAUUUUGACAAAUUAAGAUCCUCAAAGCUAGUUUCUGGAGUACUUGUGGCAGGUGACAAAGCGCUCCGAGUAACUUGCAGCUUCUUAGGUUCAGAAAAUGAAGCUUCACAUGCAGCAAUUUGGAAAAAGAUCUCAAGAGAUUGCAUGUCAAAUAAUGACAUUCUACGACGCAAAAAGAGAGAGAGCAAAUGGUAACCCCUGCAUGUUUGCAUGUCUCUCACAUUCUGAGGGCUUUGAUGAAGUGCACAAGCAAGCAAUGUCAAGGCCAUGUGAAGCAUAUCCCUGGUUUCAGCAGCCUCAACAAGAGCAAGGACAACAGGCAUCCCACCAACUGGACGAAUUAUAUCACCAAUCGAGCAUAACCUACAUAUAUAGAUGUCACCUUGAAGGCGUCCAAAACGUGGUAUACCUGGGGGGGGGGGGAGGAGGUGGAGUUCGUACUAUAUUCUAGCCUUUCUCCCUUUUUUAUAAAAAAAAUGUUAUAUUUCCUCCUCUUUUUCAUUCUUUUUUUUUAAUAGUUCCGCCGUGUGAAGGUGAAUUAAGAUCCCAUUCCCAUGGCCAAUUUCGUUUUUUAUUUAUAUAAAGAGUAAAGAGUGCAGAUCUUCCACUUUUUUCGACAGCCAUAAUCUAAAUUAAAUAGAGAUGUUCGGAUAACUUAUAAUGAUCAGAUCAUCAACAUAAACCAAAAAGUGCAAUAGUAACGAUGUAAGACUCCUCCUUCUUAGCUCUUAGCUUUUCGCUUUGAAGAGGACCGAAAAAGUGGAGAUUCUUUAAAAAAAAAAGGGCAGCUGUACCGUACAUCCGCCUUGGCCGUACAGCAGGGGGAAGAAACAGACAAAUAUGAG
rnacentral:lncRNA from 1 species